UUUUUUUUUUUUUUUUUUUUGUUUGUUUGAUAAGGAAAAAUUUAGGUGAAUUCGAUUACAAAUAAUCUAAUACAUAGAUAUUAGCAGCUGUUUUCAAGGUUCCUUUAUUGUUGAAAUAGUUGAUGGAAUAAUUUAUUUAGAUGAAUUACUUCGGACUGCAUGAUCACAAAACUCAGCAGUAGAGCCGGUAGCGUAAAGUGUAAAUCAAUGGUAAGUUCCUACUAUUAGAAAAGAAAAGGAAGCUACAAUAGAAUAGUUCCUACUAUUAAAAUAUGCUUUAGUGUUAGAUUUUUUAAAAUAUAAGAUUAGGGGAAGGUAAUAAUGAUUAGUAUGGAGCAAAAAAAAAAAAGUUUAGUAUAUGUAUACACAUAACAUGUCAAAUGGAAUUUAGGUAUAUUAAUAAAUGCAUAUCAAGCACCUUUAAUAAAACUCAUAACAAAUAAAUAUCCGAAAAAGAAGAGAAUUUCUAAAACUGGAAAAGAAAAUAAAGGAAAGAGUUUUCUUUUUCUUUUUUUUUUUCCUCUCUUUUUUGGCGUGACGAAUGAGAGACGAGAGAGAAGGAGCAAGGAGUAAUCGUAAUAAUUAAUUUGGGGGAGUGGUUUUUCACUUUUCUUUUUGCUAUCAUAUCAUCGCAUGUGGGCUGUCGCUUGGAUACCGCUUGUGGUGGUGGUGGCGCAAAAGUAACCAACUCACCUUUGCUCCCUCAGAAUCUCGGCCACCGUCUGCCGUCAUCCCUCCACCGCCACCUGCUUCAACGAAGAUAGCAGCAGCAUAAAAUCUUCUGAAGAUGAGCUCAAUUUCUCCUUUGGAUCUCUUACCACUCUCUUCUCCCUUGCGCACCAGCAUCGCCAUCAACAACUCCCCCGCCUUCCAUCGCCAGCUGCCGUCCCUAUUGUUACCUCAGGCCGGCCCUAAACCCUCCAGAACCUACCUCAGUUCAGUCCAUCAGUUAGGCUCCUCCCACAAGCCCUUCACUGUUGCAGCCGGCAGCACCUUGACCGCCAAUUCCGUACCGGUAUGACCAACCAUCCACUUGGCCUUUUAUUUUUGGAUUUAUUAUUGUUGUUAUUUUUUGUGGCUUUCCCAGUAAGAAUGAUUGUCAGGCCGUUUCUUGUUUGCAAUUGUGAUGGUUAAGUUGAUUUUAUUCGGCCAAAAGAAAAAAAAGAUUUUGUUUUCUUGAUAAGCAGAUCAAUUGAUUAGAAAAAGCUGUAAAUUUGAUUUUUGAACACGUGUUGGAACCGAAUAUUUUGUUGAAUUUCUAGUUCGUGUUGGGAGACUGAGUUUAUUUACGCAUUUUAGCACUUGUUUACCUGUACAUUCUUUAAAUUUGAGUUCUAUUUUCGAGAUAUCCCCUGCCUGUUUGCAGGCAAGAAAUGGUAUAUAUACUGUUGGUGAUUUCAUGACUAGAAAAGAGGAGCUACAGGUGGUAAAGCCAACAACAACUGUUGACGAAGGUAUUCUAGAGUGCAGCUCAAAUUCUUACACGAAAAUAUUACUUCUGCAUUUACAACUAUUCCUUACACAUUGUUUUCGUCCAACAGCCUUGGAAGCUCUUGUGAAAUACAGGAUAACUGGUUUUCCCGUCAUUGAUAAUGACUGGAAACUGGUACGUCUCUCUCUUAUUAGUUUAUAAAUGUUGUUUUCCAUCUCCCUGGUAGCAAAUAGGUCAUUAGAAAUGCUACCAAAAUUGCCACACACUCGAGCUUGGGAUUUCGACUGAUUUCUCCUUAAUUUACCUCUGCAUCACCUAGGCUGACGUGAUUUCUUCGAUAACUUUGAAACUAAUUCUAAAUUCGUGGCAUUUUAUGCCUUGAUUUGCUACUUUACUAAAAUCAUCAAACUUCAUCAGCUAAUGUGUUGUAAUUGGUUUGGGGCCCUUCUAUUUAAGUAGUUCAAGGUCUGGAUAUUAUUAGGCAAAGGUUGCUGCUUUUUUGUAGCAUUAAGAAGUUCUUUAUUGCUGCAGGUUGGCCUUGUUUCAGAUUAUGAUUUGUUAGCUUUGGAUUCUAUAUCAGGUAGAAAUUCAAAAAUUUCAAGUUACAUUAAAUACACCUCCUCUUCUGACUGUUGCUCUUGAAUCUUUUGCGGGUGUUUCUACCUUGUCCCGUAGGCCUUAGAUAUUAUGAACCUUUCUGCUCAUCAUAGUGGAGUUUGCAAUCAUGUGCUAAUAUGGCCCAUUUCCCUGUUGAUGUGGUCUUCCUACUUUAUUUUUAAUUGCAAUCCUUCAGUUGACAUUUUGUCUGGGGCAAGCAAAGAAGCAAACUGAGAUGGAGAAGAUAUAAUUGAUCUAUUAUUGGGGAUAGCUUAGGAUCCAUCUUACUAAAUGAGUCAUCUGUUUUUCCGAUAACUAGUAUUGAAAUAUGAAGUUUUAUAUCACAUUUCAUUUCGUAGAGGCUACUUGCAACAAAGCUUACUGAUUAUGUGCUUAUGUAACUCCUCCUGGCACGGUUCAUUUUGUCAAGUUUAAAACUGUUACCCUUUAUCCUUGCGUAUAUUUCAUUCUCCAAUCAUAUUAGUAAAUACCUCACAUGAUAUAAGAAGUUCCGAUAUUUUGAUCAGGUACUGCAAAAAGUGAUGCAGACAUAUUUCCAGAAGUUGACAGCACAUGGAAAGUACGUAAGAGAUCAUUAUUUUCUUUUAAUGACGUCUGUCACUGCAACAAAUGUGCAUUUUACUAUGCCUCUUUUCUUGAUUUUUCUCAUUUUAAUUAAAUAAGCCAAAAAAUGCAAGAGUCAGUAGAGUAUCCUUUGUCCUUUUAUUCCUGUACUCUACUCUUUUAGAAGUUUUAGUUUCUCUAGAUUGUCUCUGUAUAUGUUUCUGAAGGUGGAAUUACUAGCAUUCCUCCUAAAUGUAAUUUUUUAUUUUUAAUAAUAAUCUCAGGCUUCCACUUACGGAUCGGUACCUUGACUUGUCAGACCUUUAUUUCACAACUUCAAAGCAUUUCCUGUGGUCAGGUGUACAUAUCUUGCUUGUUGCACAGUCUCUGUUCUUUCACUCUUUCUCGACUGUUGUUCCCAUGGUCAGGAGUGCAGUUAGCCAAGGAUCCUGUGCCAGUACUUUUGCUUGUCCCUUGUGAAUGUUUUUGUUUCAUCUUGGUGAUAUGUUAUCCCAAUCGAUGAUAUUUUCCUGGUGAAAACUUGGGGAAAAGAAUAGGAGAAUUCUGAUGCCUUGUAUGUAAUUCAAUAAUUCAUUUAGAAAAGCAUGUGAAAACAUGGAGAGUGCAGAUUGUAGAUUUAUAUGAUUAACGUAGUAGAGGGGAUGCCUAAUCCAAUCCAAACCAUAAAGGAGCAUAAUUCUUGAAAUAAUAGAACUCGGUGAAUCCACUUUCACAGUUAAACAUUUCUGUUUUCUGGUCAGUCUCUCUCUCUCUGGCACGCAUGCGUGCAGAACUCAUGAAUGUGUUGACUGGCCGCACUGGUGUUUCGAUUUAACAUGUUCUGACAUCUCUGAUCCUGAAAAUUUGUCACAGACAUUUAAUGAGAUACAGAAGUUACUUAGCAAAACCAAUGGUCAAGUAGUAGGUGAUCUAAUGACACCAGCUCCGCUGGUGGUUCGUGAAACUACCAAUCUGGAGGAUGCUGCAAGGUUCUUUACUUGAUUUAAGCUAGCUUCUCUGACUGCAGUAUUUUUGUGUCUUGUAAAGUGGCAAGGCUAAUAUAUUUAGCCCUUUUGUUGCUAUUUUUCAACUUCAGGUUGUUACUCGAGACAAAAUACCGACGACUUCCGGUUGUGGAUGCUGAUGGUAGGCUGGUAAGAGCCAGUUACUCUGUCCUUUGAUUGUGUGUUUCUUCCAAGGUUUUCAUAAUUCUAAAAUUGUUUCCCUUGUUAAGGUUGGAAUUAUCACAAGAGGUAAUGUUGUAAGGGCUGCCCUUCAAAUAAAACGAGAAAUGGAGAACAAGGCGUGACCUUGGAUGGUAUUCACUUGGGGAAGUACCAUGAAGCUUAGGCGGGAAUGUCGUCGCGUAUCUCCAAGAGCCUCACUGAUUCCAACUGCCUGCAAUAUUAUAGUACAUUUCAAUGAAAUUUGUCAAAGUUUUUGCUGUCGGAUUAGAAGAGAAAAUAUGGAAACGUUACACACACAAAUUCCAGGAUGAGGAUGAUUGAGUGUUGGACUAGGAAAGAAUUGGGCCUUAGAUGGGUUAUAGGAAUUCUUCGCAGUCUCAGCUGAGAUUGUCGGCUGGGUGAUUAUAAGAGCAUUGAGUAUAUAAAAUGUCUUAGAAUUGAACUCUCCCCUCCUGUAUUGGGGUGGGGGGGUUUAUGCAGAGGGAUACAUGUUUACUAUUUUCAUUUUGUGUCGUGGAAAUAUAACGCUGAACAUCUACCCGAUGGAUCUUUAAAACUCGGAUUAUCUUACUUGCUCUUGUACGACUGAACCUCAUGAAUAUCAAGGAUGGAGCUUCACGGAUUACAUCCCAAAUUCAUUAACCAUAUGAAGAACACCUUUUCCACUGCUAUGAAGCUACAGGGCCAUAGGCCAUUCAUCUGUUUAAUGAAUGGUGAUGAAGGGAAGGGGAAGUGGUUAAUUAAUGGUGAUGCACAUGCUCUAUGCAUUGAUUUGUUUAGCCAAUUAAAGAAAGCCUAUCUUACCUGCUGAACGCGUUAUUCGAUUAACAAGGACAGUAAUAAUGCCUUUACGGAGCCCAAAGUGGAGCGCCAUCCAGCCCUAGAACUCGGGUAACCCAUCCCAUGCAUGCCUGCCGUUCAUCAUUAUACUCCAUGCAAGAUACACGGACGCAAGUGUCAUUUGUAGAGUUGUAAACGAGCCGAAUCGAACCGCGUAUCUCAUUCAUGCCUGCCUUUCAUCAUUAUACUCCAUGCAAGAUACACGGACGCAAGUGUCAUUUGUAGAGUUGUAAACGAGCCGAAUCGAACCGCGUAUCUCAUGUUUGAGUUCUGUUCGUUAAGCGAUUCGAACAACAUUCGUGUUCGUUCGUUAAUUUUCGAACUCCAAACCUGUGUUCAUGUUCGGCUCGUUAAGCAAAGUUCAUGUUCGAGUUCGUGUUCGGCUCGUUUAACAUAAACGAGCCAUUCGCGAACAUGCUCGAAAUGCUCGAAUCCAAAUUAUUUUAAGCCUUAAAUAUGCCAUACAAAUCAUUAAUCAUUCUCUAAAAUAAUUAAAGCACUAAGUGACUAAAUUCUAUUAUUCAUUAACUAUAUAACUAACAUUAACAUAAAAGCAACAAAUAAAACAAAGCAAUUUGCCCUCCAAAUAUAAAAGUCCAGCCGUAAAAUUAACCCUAAAAUUUGUCAAAUGAUAAUUAUGUCCAUGUUCGCGAACAUGCUCGUAUUCGCUCGAUUAUUAAUCGAACAAAAAAAUUCGUUCGAACUCGGUUCGUUUAAAAUUUCGAACGAGCCUUUCACAAACACGAACGAGUCGAAACGAACCGAGCUACCGAACAGUUCUAGUCAUUUGCAACUCCAAAAUAUCAAAUACAUGCUUGUAUCACUUCAUAUCGUCAAUCUGCCAGUUGGAGCGCGCGUGAAGUGCAUAGAUAUCAAAUUUGGAGGGCGUCGUUGUUUUGCUUAUUGAGUAAUCUUCCUGUCCGAGUUGUUUGGCCGUUAUAGCAUCGAAAAUAAGAUAGGCGGUACAAAAUCAUGACCCAUGGGAGAUGGAAAAAAUUUUGAAAAGAAGACGAGAGGGUGAAAAAAAAUACUGUAAUAAAAUCAACCAAGAUUUUCCAUACCGCGAUGCAGCCCAAGUAGUGGACCCAACGUAGCUCGACCAAACUAUUGUAUUGGUUAGGGGCAGUGGCAGAGUCAGUAUCCAAGAACAGUAGUAUAAAAAGAUAGAAGAGUGAAGGAAAAAACUAUGUGGAUAAUACACAAAAAUUAUAAUUUUGUAAUCUUGUAAUAAAAAAAUUUACUCGGAACCUUGUGCCUUGGUUUUGAAUUAUAAAAUGCAAGAUAAAAUGUAUUUGAACCUGUUUCAAAUUUGUUAGGGGGCAAUCUGAGAGAAAAUAGCGAUGUUGAAAAAUUUAAGAGAAUAGAGCAAUGCUUAAAAAUUUAAGAGGGGGGAGGGCGGAAGUCGGGAAUUCUAAAGAAACAUUCAAAAAAUUUGUUUUAUAUUUUUUUUAUAACAAUUUUGUAAUUUUUCAAGAGUUGAGGGGGGCAAUAGCCCAUCUUGAACUCAACUACUUAGGGGUGCCAACAAAUUGAUCAACUCGCGAAUAAAUCAGUCAUAAUCUCAAAGUUGAGUUGAACUCCAACUACUCGAGUUCAUUGCGUGCGUGUGUAUAUUAUGUAGUAUAAUUGUUAAAUUACAUAAAACUAUAUUCUAGGACAAAUUAUACGCCUUACCAUUCAAACUCAAGCUUGAGUUUGAUGUCAAUUUACAUCUUGAGUGAGUUUGCACUCUUUUAUGUUUAUAGGAGCCGAUCUUCUUGAACUUCAAAGACCUCAGCACAAGUUCGAGCUUGAAUAUGAUAAGUUCUAGACUUACUAAUGGAAUAGAACAAUAAAUUGUUAGAUUAGAAUUGAGGCCAUCACGGUAUUGUUAUUAAAGUCUAAACCGACUAAAUAGAUUUAAAUAAUAAAUAUUUUUUUAAACGAUUUGAUCCGAUUAUAGUCUGUCGGUUCUGGUUCUGAUUCAAAAUUUUUAUGAAUCUGAACCUAAAUCUUUAAUCACGAUUACGGUUUCAAUUUUGGUUUAAUUUUCCAAAUUCCGAUUCAAUAAACUGCUGGUCUGAUUCCAAUUCAGUCCGAUUCCAAUUCAAGCUUGAAGCAUGGCCACCCCUACGUUAUAACCCAUUCUUUUGCGACAAGACAAACGAAGAAAGUACUAAUAGUCAAAUCGAACUUGAAGGAAAAACCCCACCACUACCCGUAAUAAAGCUAGAACAACCCCUAUCAGGACUUUUUUGACACGUGAAUUUUUUGGAUGUUUGUCUAAAAUUUUACUGUAACUUACUGUAGAAAUUUUUAAAAAAAUUUUUAAAGUGUGUUUUUUUCUGAAUAUUUUGAAGUGUAUCGUUUAAAAUUUUUGAAAAGUUUUUUAAAAUUACUGUAGCUAAAGUUUUUAAAAAACUUAUAUAGCAGACAAACUUAACAAAAAAUUUGUCUCCUGUCUAACUGCUGCAACUCAUCAAAGAAGAAACUAUAAACCCUGUUCAACUUUUGACCGUCCUAGUAGCCUUACUUAUAGCAUAUGCCCACAAAGAAUGGGAAAAUAAAUCAACUAGUCUUAGGCGAUGCAUCACCCGAUGGGUACUGCUAUAAAACUACUGUAUCGCCAUCGUUAAUAUGUACUACUGUGAACAAGUCCAAAUGAAAUGGGUGUGCCUGCAAUUAAUUUCUCGAGUCAUUAAAAACAACGCAGAAAAAUACCUAACUCUGUGGAGUCAAAAAUGGAACCUUAUCACUUUUAUUAGUUGUUAGCAAAACAGCAACCACUUGCACCAAACUCGAGCAAACGUAGGACCAUACAUGUUCCCUCGACCUCACCGACCCUCCCCACCCCACCCCAAACCAACUUGGAUUUACUACUUACUAGCUGCUGCUACAACCCCACAGGCCAGGCCCAAACACCACCACCACCAAUCCUCAAAAAAAAAAAAUGCAAGCAAUUGCAAAGUGCACAAUUAUAAGUAUUCUACUACUAGUAGUAGCAGUAGUAGCAGUAGUAGAAAAGCCAUAAAGUAAUACAUACUGAUUGAUAUAUUUUUUGAUAUCAUCCACAGGUAAAACUUGGAACAAAGAAAAGGUUACUAAUCAGGGCAAAAUAUUUACACUAAUUCGUUUUUAUCAGCUCCAAAACUUGAUGCUCUGUUAUCAUAUAAAGAGGUAAAAACUUGAAAAAGAAAAAGAGAGAUAGAAAAAUAGAAUUAGGUGCUACUUGCUUCUUUGAGGAUUUGAAGCCAGCCAUCGAGCGCACGUUAUCAAGCGCCCUCGGGAAUACACUAAUACAGUGGACAUAAAUAUAUACUAUGAUACUUUUUUUCUUUCUCUCUUUCUUUUUUUUUGGCCCCUUUUCCCUGCAGGUAGAGCCCACUCACCAAUAGUCAACAUCUGGAUCCUCGGGCUCGGGCUUCUCAUUCAAGUCGGGCUUUUCUUGAAACCAACAGGGCUUCAGCUGAGUCGGUGUUGCAUGGUCAUGGUGGCGGUGGUGGUGGCUGCGGCCGUGGUCGUGGUGGUCAUGGGUGGUGAUGGAACUUUGAACAGCAUCAACUCUCGAACCCACCUCUAUUGCUUUCUUGCGAAUAGCAGCAGCGGACAGGUCACCACCAUUAGCAGCAGUAGUAUCGCCCACCAAGAGCUCCGGGAAGUUGAGCCUCGCCGUCGGCCCGCGCAGAUAAUACACGGCGGUGUCAUAGGCUCUGGCAGCAGCCACGGGCGUGGAAUAAGAGCCUAACCAUAUCCUAGACCUCUUGUUAGGCUCUCUAAUCUCCGCCACCCAUUUGCCCCACUUCCUCAUCCUUAUUCCUUUGUAUAACCUCUCGCUUUUUUUCUUCCCUGCUCCGGCCCCAAUUCCUCCACCUCCCUCCAUCUCUUAUCCCCCUUUUUUUCUAUAAUAGGAGUAUGGAGGCGGUAAUAUAUAUCUAUCUAUCUAUAUGUGUAUUGUUUUCUCUCUAUAAUCUGAAUAGACCUAUAGCUAGCUCGAAGAAGAGAUUAUAGAGAGAAAAAGAAAACCCAUCAAAAGAAAUUAAGAUAGAUGCGGAGAGUUGAAGGGGAGGGCUGGGAUUUUGGCUUCGGUUUUUGAUAUCGGACCAACCAAAAGGGCAAAAAAAAAAAAAAAGAAAGAAAGAAACAAGCAGAACAAGUAGAAAAAAUUACAAGUGCCGGAUUAGUACUACUACUACUUGGGUACUAAGAAGGUUCAUUUGUCAUUUGAGUAAAGCUUCCACGUUGGUUUUUUGGUUUUCUUAAAAAGAAGAGAAUACACUAAUAUACUCCCCUGCCGCUAUAAUAUACUAGUGGUAACUAAAUGCACCGACACCAUCCCCUCUCUCUCUCUUCCCUUCACUUUUUUCUAUAUCUGUCUACAACAAAUUGGGAUUUGGGAGUAGCACUAAUAAUAAUAAGUUUAAAGUAGGAGCACUGAAAGGAAGAGGAGGACUACUUGUACUGUAUUUUUCUUUACUUUCCACUUUAACUUUUUGAAAAAAGCUUAAACAUUACCUCAUAUGCAAAAUAGUUGUGGUUGGCCGCCAUGUACACGAACACAUAUAAGCAAGGGGGCUGUACUCGAGUGCAGGAACAGACGCAUUUUUUUCCUCUCAUCUGCUGCAAUUUGCAAUUUGCAAUUGGCAAUUGGAUUGAGUUUUGUUUGGCUCGAAAUAAAUGGUAGCAGUAAUGGGGAUGGGCCGUCUUUUUGUUUUUGCGGGCUAAUUGUACUGUGUGUUGAAAAGAGCAGCUGUCGUUUGGUACUCCACUGUUGUAUUUGUAGCCUCCACUAUUGUACAGAGGAGGUUUGAUGGAGGGAGAGAAAGUCUCUUUCUUUAAGUAAUUCUUAUAGGGGCGGGUGGGCGGGGAGGGGAGGGGAAGAAGGGAAAGCGAGAUAUUGGGGGAGGCGAGAUAUUGGAACAGCAAGUGAAGUGAUAAUGAUGAUUAUUAAUUAGUGCUAUCAUCAAACGCUAAUUGUCAUUGUCAUUGCAGACUAGAAUUUUUAUUUUUUUAAAGAAAAAAAAAAGAAAAGAAGAAAGAUUUUAGUACUUAAUUAGGGAGAGGCGGAAGGUAGGUCGGUGGUCGGUGGAUGGAUAGAUACCGUUGUGACUUGACUUUGCUCCCCUCCCCGACAAUAACGAUAUCCAUUAUUAGACACUGUCAUACGCUUUUGUUUUCUGGCUUUUGGCCCGACGUAUCGUUUUGGUGGGUUUUUGGGGGCCCGCGGGCACACUUGCCUUCAACCUUAAACAAUGCCCCCCCCCCGCCCUCCCCUGCAAUUUUUUUUUCCUUUUCGCCCCAGCUGGAAGAACAAAGAAGAGCCCCGCCGGUUGACCUCCUCGUUUAGGCUCUUAAUUAUUGAGAAGGGAGAAAGAAAAAGCAGGAGUUGAUCCACCUUUUUCUUACAUGAUUGCCAAUUAAACAUGCAUUAAGCAGCUAAACCCGGUGAGUAAGAUGUUCGAUAAAUGGAGCGAGAAAUGCACCCUGGAUAAUGGAGUAGCACUCACUAGCAUCUAUCUGUAUCCAAGUCGGCCCGUAAACAUACAUAUAGAAUUUCUGUUUUUGGAAUGGUUUAAAAUACGCAAAAUUUUUGGUCGGUCUGCCCAACUUUCUUUGUGUUGGAGCCGUAUUUGUUAGUACUUCCAAAUUAUUAAUAGCUUUAAGAGCAUCACCGGAGGAACGAGUUUAUUCUGCAGUAGUAUUUGAACUUUUGUUUUUUCAGCUGCUAAUGAAUAAUGAUAGACAGCAGUGGAUGCCAGCUUCUGCAUCAUUUUUUAAGCACUCCAUGAUUAGAGAGAGAGAGAGAGAGGUGCUACUGUUUCAUUCCUUUCUCUAUCCGUUAUGGACCUUUGCUCUGCAAUUACCUCCUUUCUUUUCUUUUUUUUCCCUCUCUGAAAACCUAUAAUGCUGUGCUCGAUUUCCAUCUAACAAAUCCAAGCCAAGAUAGGGUAAUGCCCAAUUCAAUCGAAGCAAUUCAAUAGUAUCUAAUGCUAAAUACAACCACCCAACAGAAUAUGUUGUGUUCUUACUUGGAAAGUUAAAACCACGCCCACCGUGGACGUGGAGUGAACAAAUGUGGACUCCUAGACAAUUCAUCACACGGGUGCAUUUAUUAUUACUUUUUAAUUUAUUCACAUAAUUGAUGUAUGUAGUAAUUGGUAAGUAGCCACGAAUGAUGAAGAUGGCUCUCACAGAUUUGUGAUUUGAGAAUCUUAGGAAAGGAAGGAAACUGGUUCAUUCUAAAAAUUAGAAAAAUUUUAGAAAACAUAUUAUUAUUAUUAUUUGGCUGCGAAAUUUUGUCCCUCCUCCAAGCAAGCAGCACGCACAGCAUAUAAUAUGGGAUUUUCUUGGCUGAAGUUACGUGGCACGCAAAGCAAACACCAGUUACGUGGACAAACAGUACGGAUCCAAUAAUUUAUAAUUAUCACCGCUGCUGCUUAAUACUACUACUUAUAUAAGUAGUACUCAGUAUUUUGUUAUGUUGUUUGUUUGAGAGCGAGGGAGUGAAGGGGCCUUUGUUAACUUUGGUCUUGAGAGGAGAAGUCUGUCAUCCUACAGCAGCCCCAGAGGAAUCCUGAAAAAAGUCAAGAAAUCGGCAACCAGAUGUUGAUCUUUGAAGAUGUGGUAAAUGAUUUUUGGGUUAGUUGCAUUUGGUCAUGCGACUGCGAAGUCAGUCACCGCUAUGAGUGGACAAGAAAGAAAAAAUCUUUGGAGGUCAAUGUCAUGAUUAACUACAUUCUUACGAUGAAAACUCUCUGCUUGCAUUUCCAUCACCAAUGGAAGAUGCACAGAACAGUAACUCCAGCCGUCCAAAUAAUAAGAAACAAAAGUCAAAAGUUGGUGAAGAAAACGAACGCAGUUUUGUACUAUUUGUUUUUUCACUUCUGUUGACCCCUGCCCCCCACCCCCGGCCACAUUAAUAAUAGUAUUCAUGGCUAAAGUUGUGCCACUCGAAUCCAUCCACUUUUUUUUUUUUUGUGUCACAUCCUACGCAGAAAACUGCAAAUAUCAGAAGAGGUCGGUUAAGGCAGAGUCCAUGACAAAUUAAGUGAUUUCAUCCGUGAUAUGAUCACUGUUUUAAUACAGUGUACAGACUGAAUAAUUAAAUAAAAUCUCAAUCCUGCAACUUGGCUUGAGAGUCUGUGGCAAAAUUGCCUCAACAUGAUGAGGGGAUUGAAAUAGAAACAACAAAAACUUUCAAAUUAUGAACUUCAGAUUAGCCUAGCCAGUUUCCAUUAGCGCCCAGCACAUUAGGCUUUAGAAAUCUUCUUACAUCAGAACCGUGCCAAGUUGAUGCUGCUUGUGCAACAGACCUACUGGUCGUCAUCGUGCAAGGUGUCGCAUAAAAAAGGGUAACCUAUUGACUAAGGCAGAAAUCCAAAGUUAACAGGUGAUUUCCAACUCGUUUUACGAUAGAUCGAACGAUAUACAGCAGCCCCAGAGGAAUCAACAAACCGAGAGAUCUGCAAUCCUCAAUACUAUCACAGGGAUUUUACGUCCUUCUACACAAAUUACGUAAAGCAAGCAGAGUGAUGAGCAUUAAGUAGAACUCUUAAAAGAUUACCCUUAAAAUAAUUUUGUUUAAAAAAAAAAAAAACCAUAACAAAUGCUGAAAAGUUCAUAAUUACAAUUUAUUGCUGUUAAAUUUUUUACCAUCCGAACCAAUGGAAAGAGAAGGAAGUAAAUAAAAAGCUAAUUGCGGAUCCUAAUUCAGCACAAUUCAUACAUUCCAUGGUGCAAACCAAGUAUGAUGCAGCAUUGACACUUUGCACACAAUCUAUCGUUUGCAUUCACCUUGACUUCUUACUACGCAAUCCCAUCCUUGAUUUUGCAUACCUAAAUAUUUUGUCAAGUCCAAACUAUAGAAAAACCAAUGAAAUCAUGGGAAGAAAACCGAAUAAUACAAUGGUAAUCACAAAAUUAGACUCAAUCUUAGUAAAGGAUACUCCAACCGCAUGCCCUGACCAGAUGGUGAUGAGUACAGAACUGUGCCUUGUAGACGAUUUAGAGCCUCAGUUGAAGUAGCAGAAUCCUACAAAUUAAACCAUCAGAUGCAGACAGGAGCAUUUUACUAAAAGAUUAAUCAGACAGAAAGCACAGGACUGAACCAUGGCUCUGGGUCAAAAUGGAAAUGCUGGGCAUGUGCCAAUAAAUGCUGGGUUCUCCGUAUCAUAGCAAAAAGGUGAGAAAAAUCGUCCAGCUUUUGGUUUCACAGGAGAGGUUUAGAUAGGUAAGGACAAGCAGUUGGUAGUACAGGUGACACAGUUAACAGUAUACCUACCUAUACGAGAUGGAAAAAGGUUGAGCAGAAUAUAUGCUACAAAGUGAAACAUUUCUCCAUGUAAAAGAUAGCCAGGUACAGGUGCAAAAACAAAAACAAUUGAACAAAACUUCCAGUAACCACCCUUAAUCCCAUGGAGACUAGUAUCAAAGCUGAGCAGCAAAUGCUCCACAUUUUCCAGUCCAACCAACGGAGUGACUCAAGUUGACAACCAAAACUAAAUAAAGAAGAUUAGACUCUGAAUGAAUCUAGAAAAGAUCCUAAUUUUGUUCAAAAUUCCAACAAGAGAAAAGGGACUAUGCAAAUGUACAACAAACAAAAGGAAAUCGACUAGGUUAAGCUUUCAUGCUUUUAGACCAGACUUGCAAAAAUAGUGUUCCAGAAGAACAAAGUAAGAAAUAUACCUGGAAAUCAACAAAUGCAACAGGAGCCCCAUAUGUGCUCUGCAUCUUCAAUUUCAGAAAUCCAGGACAUCUAAGUAGAAAGCAGGCACCAAGUUAGUGCAGCCACAACAAUUUUUAUGAUGAAUGAUGAAGAAGACUGUUCUCCUGAACCUUGAAAAAACUUGAAUGAGCUCCUGUUCUGAACAAGUUGGGCCCAGAUUAGCUACAAAAAGUGUUGGACAUGGGGUGGAAUUCUGUGAAACACGGAGCUGAAGUCAAGCGGGUGUACAGCCAAAAUGGAUAAAUUAAUCUACCACAUAAAAGAUCGCUAUAUGAACUUGAAAAGGGAGUCAGUAGAUAAGAAUUGUCAAGUAAUAAUCUAAAGCAAGCAAGUGAACAAUAACUGUAAUCAUUCCAACAUGCUGAAACUAGUGCAGGAGCAAGACUAAGGCCCUGUUUGAUAACUCAAUUUACCACUUAAAUUUUAUAGGUUCAGAUCUUAACAUGUUCAGAUGUAUUUGAUAACCAAAAAUAGAACAUCUGAAGAAAAUUAAGUGGCACUAAAUUUUCUAGGCAAAAUUUGCUCCCAAAAAAGGUGAUAAGCUAUUCACUUAAUGUGAUAUAUACACUCAAAUGUAUCAAAUUUAGUCCUUAACAAUUCAGUAACUUAACGAAUUCAGGCUUCAAUUUUAUCAAACACACCCUAACUCAUGCCUUAAAAUAAAUGCGCUAUACAAAAUACUCAGAAUCAGUAUUCAGUUCAUAUAUUCAUAAAGACUUUACCAUAUCAAGGACAAUUUGGAAUGGAUAGCCUCUCUCAUGAAAAGGCCCAGGUUUUCAAAAGCUUAAGGAGAAAACUAACAUUUGUAGCUCGAAAAUCAUGAGCCAAAGCUGGAGUUAAAUUCUAAAAUUUUAAAGAGCCAAACAAAAAUUAUGAAAUAGUUUGUAAAAUACUGUAUCAUUAAAUAAAAUUUCAGGGACAAGAACAUCUUACCAAUUUUUUACUAGAGUCAUUUGCAGCCCUAUCAUCAAAGCUUCCCUCACUACAUUGUGAGAAAAAAGACAAUGGAAAUCAGAUAAGAUUUUUCAGUAACAUUGUAACUGAUAAAGUUCUCUAACUUCAGGGAAUAGGGCAUAUAGUGACUGCUUCAAUGUGGCCCUUGACCUUUCAGCCAGAAGUAAUCAAAUAUGAGUAAAUUAAACGUGCAUAUCGGCCGGAAGUAAGCACUUCCAAAUAAUUAAAGUGUGCUUAAGUAGUGCAGAUGACCUUUGUGUGGAUGAAUAACCAAUCGUGUUGUGAGCGGAAUUACCCGUUCCAGGCAUGUGAAUGCUGCCAACACCUGCUAGUGCCCAACAGUGCAAAACAUGUGCAAGGUGAGCUUUUAUAUUAACGUGCUCUCCGCUUGGCUGACUAGCUAAUAUUCUUUGUAAGAGAUCAAGUAGGUAUCAUGUGACUAAUUUGGAUUAAAAAAAAAAAGCAUAAAAACACAAUUAAACAUCGUGCCCUUGGAAGAAGCAGAAGAUAGAGACUGCUUGUAGAGAUAUUUUCAUCCACAAUGCACAGGAAAACUAAGGCAAAAACCUUACCCGAAUCUGUGCCCCUUGAAGAAGCAGAAGAUUUCAUCCUCUUCUCUGAUGCAGCACUCUCAUCAUCUGGUUGUUGCAAGUCAAACACAAUGGUUAAAAAAAACAGGACACAAGGCAUGACAGGCAGGAAAAAUGUUGCAAAAGUACCUGUUCUUAAGCGCUUAGACCUGGGAUUAGAUUUUGCAAGAUCAAUAUAUAAUGUGGAACCUUUCUCAAGGUCAAAUACCAUUCCCUGGGAAGAAAAAAAAAAGAAAAAAAAGGAUUAAAAUCAACAAGUGCCGAGGAUAUUUUCUCAGUAAAACCAAAGAUGUGAAUAUGAAAAUGAAGGGAGCCAACUACAUAAGGCAAGAAUGCUAAUUUAUGCAGAAACAGAUAACAAUUACAAUAUAAAGAUACAGAAUUUAGGGAAAACCCCACCAUUCCAAUUUUUAGUCAUACACAACACAAACCCACAACAUUACAAUCGACAAGUUCUAAGAAUGAGAGGCGAUCCUAACCCCACCAUUCCAAUUUUUAGUCAUACACAACACAAACCCACAACAUUAAAAUCAACAAGUUGUAAGAAUGAGAGACGAUCCUAGAAUUGCAUGAACUAAGGAUCAGUGAGUAGCAAAGCCAUUCCAAAAUGGGAUUUAUAAUUAUGUUUUCCUUUGUGGGAAGGGCAGGUGCUCCCGCCAGGCUCUAAACCCGUCCGGUAAGUUUUUCAAAUUUUUGAAAACAGAAAACCGACUUACUUGCCGGCCUCCACAUCAUUAUUGAUGAUCGAUUCAUUUCAAAUCAACCGAACCCGUCUAAAAUACUAGAGUGUUUGACCACAGUUACUAGGAGCUCAGUAACUUAGAACUAACUAGUAACAAAUGCAUAGAAAGAUGUCCUUACAUUGAGCGUGUGUAAUGCCAUAACGGCUGACUGCUGAUCCACAAAAACAGCAAAAGCAAAUGGCUGUAAACAACCACCAAAGAAAGAACAUAUAAGAAUGCAUAUAUGCAUACAUUAAACAGACUUGAAACGCCUGAGAGACCAUCAACUAAUCCGAUAAACAUAAAAACAAACAAAUAAUUGAGAAAAUGAGGGGAAAAAAAAUCACCUGAGUACUGGCUGUAGUACGAAGAUGAGAGGACUCGUAACCAGGGAACUCGCGAAAUAGGUUGUAGAUUUCUCGAGCCUUGACAUCUUCAGGAAGUCCAGCUAUGAAGAGAGUACGGACCUCGUCGUGCGAGGAUUGAGGGUAAAGCGGCGGAGCGUAAUUGACGAAUUGGGUUUGAGGAGGUAGGUAUUGCUGGUGGUGUAGCGGCUGAGCUACCGCAGGAUGAGCAGGAUGGGCAGCGGCUCCUGGAGGAGGUGGCGGUGGAGCUUCGUAAUAUUGGUAGUGCGCAGGCGGAGGAGGGUAGUAUGCCGCCAUGACGACGACGUCGUCCAAGGAAAGACUUCGAUGAGGCCUGGUUUCUUCCUAUACUGUGAUUUUGUGAAUAAGAGCUUAGCGUUUACAUUUGCUAAGCUAGGAAGUCGGCCAGUGGUGGAUUGCUUUUGGGCCCAAUAGGCGGAAGGAUUCAUAUGGGCUUUUUGGGGUUUUCAGAUGGGCUUUUUUUUUCUUUUUUCUUUAGGUAGCUCUCUUCGCUUUUUUUUUUUUUUUGGUUUUUCCUCUUUCCCUUUUUAUUUUUAGGUAGCUUUCUUCGCUUUUUAUUUGUCCGUAAUAUAUUCUCUACUAACUAUUUUUUUUUUUAAUCCCCAACUCAGUUUGCUUAUCUUGGAAGAUCGCCACGAUUGUUGUGGCCUAUAUUCGGUGAGGGACCAAGAGAAGAAAAGAAAAAUGCUACUUAAAGUUUGCGAGCGAGAGUGUUAGAUAAAAACUCAGAUUAGAUCAACAUCCAUGAUAGUUAAAUAUUCUAACAAAUGACAGUUUUUUUUUUUUAAUGGAUGGGUACGAAAUAGAGACGACAUACUUGUAGAGUUAGUUCUGCAUUUUACAUGGAAAAUGGUGGUUUCUGUUAGGAAGACUUAUGGGCGAGGCAAGUUUUGGAUUUGAAGCAUUUACAAUAAGUCUCUAAAGCGACAAAAAUGACAAAUAUUACGAAGCCAAGUUACGUGCACGUUUGCAGUUCGUGCGAAACAAUAAUGACAAUAGAUUUUGGAUCAGCCUCACCCCCAUCGAGAUAAUUCAAUUUUCCACGAGAACAGGCUCCUUGUGCAACUGUUACCAUAAAAAAAAAAAAGUCAAUUUGAUUCUUAUAAAGUAAUUGGAUAAAUUGGUUGAUUAAAUAUAAAAGUGAACGAGUGAAUGGGUUUGAAAUAUUUUUUACCGUCACGUUUAUGGUUUGAAUUCUGUAUCUGAGAGUUAGGAACGGAAAGGAUGCGAGGAGAAAUGGGAGAAUAAAAUAAAUGAAUAUCAUGUGGAAGAUCAUGAAUACUUGUAAUACCAUUUUGUUCAAUCAAAAAGAAAAUGCUAGAUUUCAUCAUGCAGAUAAUGCAUCAUUAACUAGAUUACAUAGAUUCAAAGAAACUAAUACUCGUCUUCCCAGGAGAUGCAAUGGCAAUAUUAAUGCUACCAAAAUCCAGAAACCUUUGACUGGCCUCUAUAAGUUGGAUUGGUUCAUCCACACCAUUAAUGUUAAUUGCUUUCCACUAGAGGUCUUCAUAUUCACGAGCAAUCAAAUGUUUGGUCGACUCGUAGUGAAAAUUCACCUAUAAUAAAAACUCAUGGCUUAAAUGUUGAAAUUGUUAAUUUUUUGUUGCUAUAUACGUACUGCGUUUCCCUUUUAGUUUUCAGUAAGGAACCCUUAUGUUCCAAAUACUAAAACGGCCACUUGUUCUCAAUCCUGAAGUAGUGUUAAUCAUUUGAGUUCCUACCAAGCCCAAUGACAAGGAAGAAAACGUAUACAUUCCUCCUAGCUAAAAGAUUUUACCAACAGCCCCCGUGCUUUCUCUGCGAAAGUGGUCAUGUUCGGUUAUGGAGACUAAAAUGCCAUGGGAACUAAUGCUGCUACAUCUUGAUAAUCCAAAUGAGGCUAUUGAUUUCCAUGCACUUCUUUGCAAUGUGGUAAAGCUUAGAAUUGAACUGCUUCAUCUUGCGUUGUAGUAAACUUUUAUAUAUAAGUUUUUCGGAAAAGAAAUUUCUAACAAAAGAAGAGUAAGAUUUAAGAAGCGAAAAAAGGCGAGGGAGAUUUAAACACAGACCUCUAAGUCCUAGGACCUGGACCAAAGCCUCCUCUACUAUUUUAUACAUACUUCCAAGUUGUAAUAUCCUCUCAUACUUAUAUUACCAUAUCUAACAAAAAAAUUCAAAAGCACACAUCACAUAAAAUCUGGGCAGCCUCACACUUAGCGUCAGGCCCAAUUCAACUAGUUGACAUCAAAGUCUGACCACCCACACUAUUGAAUGGAAAAUUGUUCGAAAGACUGCUUUGCCGAAUGUCCACUAGUCGAAUGGUGAAAAUCAAAUCAAUUAAGGUGGAAAGAAGGCAUGAUAACUGAAAUUUCACUAGCAACGGUUUACUCGAAUCUUGCUCUGAUCACCAAAAGGAGAAAGUCUUGAAAUCCAAGGCCAUCUGCCCAAUGCCCUGAGAUGAAACUCUACCCACAACCAAAAGAGACCUCAAUCAUCAGGUUAAAGCAACACUACACAUUCAAGAAAUUAGCCAGCAAACAGGAUCUUUUAACAGCAAACGAAUUUAAUGUCAGCUUGUCUACACAAAUUUGUGACACAAGAACGUCAACGAGUAGGUUCAGAUACACGAUGAAAUGUGCUUUAUCAUGAGAAGAACUACCAAUGAGCAUAUUGGCUGACUGGAACACUUCCACAUUUCGAUAUUAGUGAAGUCCAAACAGAACACUUCAGAAUGCAGUUUGCAUCAAAACAACUGAAACAAUCAUCAAGAACCAAAAUGCGCAAGCUAUUUAGAUAAGAGGUGGGUAUUGCUUUGCCUGCUGUCGCACUCUCUUCUUAUACUCCAGAGCAUCCUGCAAAUACAGGUGGCAUCUUAUUAUAUUCAGCAUUUGUAUCUUUACCUUUUCAAAGCAGCUAUGCUCCCACCAGAAUACAUUAAAUCAAAUGACUAUAUAAUUUCAAAGAACUGUAAGUUAGGUCACCAUCUGAUUAGACGUAAAAUGCAACCAAUGGCUGCAAAAUUUAGCAAAAACUAGCUCCGCAACACAUACCCUUGAAUCCACUUCAGCACAUCUGUAAUUAAUAAAUUGAAGAUAAAGCAACACAGUGGCUGACAUAUUUCAGCCAUCUUAUUUGAUCAUGACUUAUCUGCAACUCUAACUAAAAUAUUGAGCCUGGCCAAACAAAUUCAUGGAAAAUAUGGAGUGGCUAUGAAUGAUUCUUUUUUUAAUAUGUUAAAUUACCUGCGACAUCAAAAGAAGAGAUGAACCAUGCAGUUUCAAAAUGUUACUUUUCUCAAUAAAGCGAAUAUCCUACAACAAUGUCAAUACCAAUGGAGCACCGCUAUACUUUGAUGUUCUUUGGUGAAAGGUAUCCAGUUAACAGAAGAAGAUCCUAAAAGAGAGAAAAACUUGCAAAUUCAGCUUCCAGAGAAGACAAGUCACCUGUAUAAAUAGGUGGUAACCAUCAGUUUGUGCAGGAUCAGCAGGAUUCGGUUGAUCCAACAAGUCCUGGAUACCUACUAGGAUUUGCUUCACUGUAAUGGCUGGUCUCCAACCCUGGAGAUGACAAAAAGCAUGCAUCAACUUAUAAUGGAGCCAAAAGUCACGUGUAAAAGAUUUGAUUAAUAUGCCAAGCAGAAUGGUACAUACACUAUCUUCAUUGAGGAUUGAGAGGCAAACGGUCCCAGAAGGAUAGACAUUAGGGUGAAAGAAACCUUGAGGGAAUUUACACUUUGGUGGUUUACUCGGAUAGUCUUCACUGAAGUGAAGCGUAAGUGGAUAAGAACCACCUUCCCAGUCAGUCUGCAGCCAAUAUUGGUAAUACAAGAUUUAUGAUACUCAAUUUGCAAUAAGAAUCAUGAUCAUUUGAGAUAAAGUAGCUUCACGGGUUGAAACAGUAAAGCAGCUAACAUAUAACAUAUUAACCAUUAUAAACUUGCACUGAAUUGAUCCAGUAAACACUGAUUCAGUGACAUCCAAUAAGCCUUGAUAAUGCGAUCGAAAGGAAUUUAAAAACCAGUUUCCAUCACUUCUAGUAACUGCCAUGUCUGAACAUACCUUUCGAAGGAGGAUUAGAUAGAAAAGUUAUUACUACAUAGAGAAGGAGAGCAACUAAUGGUUCAAUAGUGCCCUUUCACCUCUACUCAGAAAUUUUUAAGUAGCUAUUACAAAGGAGACAAACCAGAGUUAAGGUUUAUUUCCAUUCUGAAGAAAGAUAUUUCAUCUAUAACGAUGGGAAACAAAGAAGUGUUGCACUGCUUGUUUUAUUGAUCAUAUAAUUUCCCAAUAAACUUGCUUCAUUAGAGAAAACAGAAUGGACUCUUUUUUAGUUAAUUGCCGAUGAUAGUGUGCUUCAAGUAAAACGCAUGGUAAGAAUCCUAAAUUCCAGCAAUAUAGCUACAGACAUCACUAAGUUCAAGCUAGAUCUUCAGAAUUAUCAUCCAUUCAUUUUUUCCUAGCUAGAAGUGUCAUUUUGGUGGACCAACGCCUAAGUUAAGAUCGACUGCAAAGUAAAAACUCGCCCCAUUUUAAUCUUCGUAGCCAAAUUACCCAUAAGACCAUAACAAUGCUUAGACACCAAAGACAUUAAAAUUUCAUCAAAGAAGCUUAUAAAACAAUAGAAGAAGGUACAGGCAAUAAUACACAACAAAGUUGUGCUAAAGCACAGAGAGAGAGAGAGAGAGAGAGAGAGAGAGAUUAAACCAGCCAAAAAAAAAAGAGCAACAACUCUUCGCCACAGCACUAGUCAUUAGUUUUAACUCUUGUCCAGUAUUACAAAAAGAAUACGAAAUUUAAGUUACAAAAUAAAAAGUGAUUCUAGGUUAAGAAACUUACCCCAGGCUUACCAGGAAUGGUGCAGUGCCAAACCAUCAAAUUAACGGAACCAUCUGGAAGUGUCUCCGGCUUGGCCACGAAACCCUAAACCAGUAAAAAUAAACAUAAUUAGAGCUCUAAUUAUUCUGUUGAGCAAAAAACAAUUCAAGACGUGAAUUUAUCGCUAAUAUAAAUAGUAAAUUUUCAUAUUAUGCUGCGUAUAAGGAUAACAGGGAGGAGGCAAAAAAAAGGACUCAAACAGAGAGAGCAUGAUCAAACAUGGGGGUGAUUUUUACGCCAGGCUUUGCGUUCCUCGGUGAGACGUCCACGCGCUAUACCUCCCGACAUUUCAGCGCAAUUUUGCCAAUUGAAACCUCCGAAAAGAUUUCUGUUUUACCAAAAAAGAAGAGAAAAUGAGUAGCCUUCGGAUUUCACGGCUACCGUAGACGACGAGACGACUAGAGAGGGAGAGAAGGAGGCCUGGGGACUGAGAGUGCCCGUGGGCUGUAUGCGAUCGUGUAUUUGGAGUACCGAUCUAAUUAAUGCUUUAUUUUUUUUUUCUCUUAUCAUUUUUAUUUUAAAGAUCAUCAACUUGACUGUACUGAUCACAAUCGACCAACCAACAAUUGGGCUUUAAAAAAUUAAUUAAUAACUAUGAUUAGUCUAAUAAUGGAUUUUUGAUAGGUUAGAAUAUUGGGAUUUUAGGAGAUAGGAAGUCAAAUGGAUUCUUUUAUUCCCAGCCUAUAGCGUGAAUUCCACGCCAUUCAUGUCCUCACGUGGAAAAUGCGUGCCAACUGCCAACCGGUCCGUAGGUGGCUGUGGCUCUACCAAAAAAAUAUAUAUUUUUUGUGGCCCCCACGAAAUGGAGAAAGAAUGAGUAAAUUUUUUGUAGGACGCCUCUCCCAAACCUCGUUUUACACAUUUUUUAUCACUUUUUUAUUUUAUAUAUAUAACGUUCUGAACAAAUACAAUGCAACAGUACUAUUUUUUUGUCCCGAACUCUUCAAACUUGCAAUUCAACGACCUCUUACAUUUCGUACCAAUCCUUACUUUUCAUACUAUACAAAUUCCAAUUCAAUCAUACUUUAAGUUGAAGUUGAGUUUUCCUUUUUUUUUUUAGGGAUAAUUUCAAAAACUUGCCUUGAAAUUUUUGAUAAUUUCACUCGAUUCCCUUGAGAUUUACAUAAUUACAAUGACCUCCUUUGACAUGAUAAAAAGACAAUAAUACCUUCAUUAAUUGUCAACUCAUUAAAAAAACUCUACUAAAUAUUAAAGUUCUCUCAAUUAUUGUCAAUCAAUAAUUCAAACUACGCUUUUCUCAUUUAACUUUCUAUCCUCUUCCUUUUACAUCUGAUUUCCUUCCAAACUCAUGUAUUUAUUCUUAUCAACCAAAUGUGUACUAUCGCCAAUAAUAAAACCACCAUAGACACCAAAACUACCAAUGCUUACUUAUUUUGGUGUCUAUUCCCAAUUCUCCCUUUUUCAUCAUUAUUAUUAAAUAGUUUUCUUACCCCCAUAUUUGUUUUCAAUUUUUGAUAGGCAUUAGCAAAUUAAAAUUGUCAAAUGACAAAUUGAGUGAUAAUUUCAUUAUUAAACUAGAUGGAGAUAAAAACAGUAGCAGUGAUAAAAAAAUAAAAAUUAAGGAUAGGAAGUGUAAUAGGAACUAAAUAUAGAUUAUACUAUUAUGGUUGUUAUGAAAAAAAAUGUUCUCAAUAUAUUUAUAACUGCAUUGUGUUUCUAUUUUUUAUUUACAAUUAUUAAUGUUAUUCAUAUAGAGAAAAUUUGAUUGAUUUUGAACUUUGUGCCAAUGGAGUAUAUUGGACAUUCAUAAUAGUAGUGAUGCCUUAAAUUAUUUUGUAUUAAAAAAGUGAUAGCCAUGAAAUUAAAAUUUAGAGUUAUCGAUGUAUAUUGUUGUGUAUUAUGCAAAAUCUAAUAUUGAUAUGAAACUGUAAGUAAUUUUUUGGAUAUCUGAUGUAGUGUUUAUAAUUGAUAUAAUGAUUUGCAUCAAAAAUCUUUAGGUAAAAGAUGAACAUUAAAACAAAGAUAAAUAUUUAUUUAAUGGUGAUUUGGAUGUUGAUGGAUAGGUAAUAGUGAUAGCAAGUAAGGAUGAAUGAAAUAUAAACUAUGAACUAUUUUUUCCUUUUAUUUUUGCUAUUAAUUAUAAAUCAAGGGCAUUAUAGGAUUUUUGAGAAAAAGUCUAGCGUUUUAGACCUAAAAUGUUGCUUAAACAAUGAAAAUAGGGGAGGUAUGUGUAAUUUUUAAAAAUUGAGGAGAGCUUUCUGCGAUUAUCAAAAACCUCAGUGGAGUUAUGUGAAAUUAUUCCUUUUUUUUAAAAAAAAAAAAUUAUACAUGUUUUGAAAAAUAUUCCAUGAGCUUCUUUCCAUAGUCCACACUUUGUAUAAUUUAUUCACAAGAGGCAUUUGGUCAAUGACAGCGUUCGACGUACGUCGAUUGGCCCAAGGCCCUAAGCUAAGCUGAUAAUUUGACGAGACUAAAGUUCAUCAAGUUAAAACUCAGAUUUCAAACAAUUAAUUUGUACCUAACAUAUGCUAUAUAGGAUUAUGAUCACUAAUCAGAUAUGUUCCAUCUAUGGGUUUAAUAGCUUAGUUUGGCCAUAAGCUUGAGGAGGUGUCAGCCACUUUAUCUUUUUGAGACAAAUGUGAAAAUGAGCCUUCUUGUUUUUUGCUCCAAAAUGAGAUAAAAAGCCUUCAGGAAUGUAGAGUUCUUUUCCCCCUUUCAGUUUCAGUAGAGAAAAGAACAGAGAUGGGUAGCUCUUUUAAUCCUUCAAAUCAGCUUCAUACCCUGUUCCGGACAUCUGGUAACCGGAAAUUUAUGAGAAUUCUUCAAAGAAAUCUUGUGAAGCCAGCUCGAUCUAUCUUAAUAUACACCAAAAAUUAAAUUAAAAAGACAACUCGGAGUGGUGAUGGAAGAAGUUUCUUUUCCCCUUCAGCAGAAGUUUCAUGUGUUUGUUUCCAACAUACAGUUAGUCAUCUCUAAACCGAACGUACAAAGCUGCUUUGAAGAUCAAACAUGGCGUUUAAGAAAUUGUUUUGAUAGGUCUGGAAAGAUAUGACAAAACAAAAUGCAUUUCUCCCAAUUUCUCGCCAGAAACCCUAUCAAGAUACCAUACUAUCUUCAACUCGCACAACAUGCUACUAACACAAAAUGAUUCAAGAACCGCGUUCAGGAUAGGUUAAUCUCAGCUCAAUUUAACUUUUACCUAAUCAUUUACAAGAACUGGCGCUCCUGAAGUUCACAACUUCAUCAGAUACAGGUUAGUGGACAUCAAAUGCACCAUUUUUAUUUUUAUUUUAAUCAUCUAAGCCCGUCCUCCUAACAAAGUGAAUGAACAUACUCACACGCCAAUCGCUUCAAAUCCCACGAGGGAAGCGUGCUUAUUCCACAAAUGCUAAUCCCAUUCCAGCGUGGCUUUCAGUACGAAAUCCAUUAAAAUUUAUGCUCCAUCCAAUAUCCAUGCUUUGUAGAUGUAAUUAGAAACUAUGAAUAUCCAUUGUAUGAAUCCCUUGCGCUGUUGUCUACCAUUGCAGUGUCUUUUAUAUUUUGUAUCAUCUUCAGUGUUUGCCGGAUCGUUGGCCUCUGUUCGGGUGAAGUCACACUACACAAACUAGCAAUCUCAACUAGCAUUCCAACCCAUUUUUCUUCCUCAGAAUCGUCAUCCCUCAUUGCUCUGACCCAAUUCGGCACAUCAGGGGCAGCAAGGAACGGAUGCUGAGAUGGAGGUUUACCAGUCAGAAGCUCUAAUAAGAGGAUGCCAAAGGCAUAUACAUCAGAUUUUGAAGAGGCUCGACGAACAGACUUGCAUAUCUCAGGUGCUUUGUAUCCUGCAGAUUCUGGAUCAUCAAUUAAAGAACUAUCAGCAAGGAUGGACACGGAGUAGUCGGUUAGACAGGCCUCAAAAUCAGAACCAAGAAGGACAUUGGAGGAUUUCAGGUUGCCAUGAAUGAGCUUUGAUGCUUGAUGGAUGUAAGCAAGGCCCUGAGCCACAUCCUCUGCAAUCUUCACGCACGAUGUCCAGUGAAGAGGUUUAGCCCUUGUUGAUCUUGAACCUUACCAACGAGAUAUGGCAAAGUAAAUAAGAAUAAAUCGAAGACAAUUACUUUUGCCUUUCUAAAGUAAGGAACGUGCAAUGCAUUCUCAGAUUUAUAUUGGCCAUGGACACUGUUCUUUUCUGUACCCAUGAAAGAGUCAUUAUCUAGCUUCAUUUGCAUCAAUGUGUUAAUGGGAAAAGGACAUCAAAGAGAGAACACAUGCAUCAAUUCAAUGGGAAAAUGUAGCAUCUACUUCUAACAACGGAGAAAACAGCUCAUCAAACUUGUGAAAAACAUCAGAUACAGACAAUAUGAGAGAGGAUAUAAUCUCAGUACAGAAGCAAGACAAUUAAUAGUAGAGCAAGCAGUUUGCCAUCAGCGGUGCCAAACAGAAAAGCAGGGAAAGCAAUUCUAAACUGAUAGACACCCCGUUAUUCACUACUCUCGUAAUUCAGCUAUGAGAUACCAGUAAGUGACCACUGUGUAGCAUGCAUGGUUCCCCGAGACAUCUAAUACCGUCCUUGGUCUGCAAUACCAGAAGUACAUAGAACACAUCUAAUUUGAGUUUAGCAAGUGCAUAGUUCCCCAACUUGAGCAUCCCGGGCACGGAUGCUAGUCUAGCUACUAGUAUGAGUUUCCAGCUGCCACCACCAUUUUUGAACGAGAAGUUUGACCUAUCACGUCAUUGUUGAUGGAGUGAUGCUGCUACUACUACACAGUACCUACAAGUUCAAUUCUUCCUGUGCCUAAGGGUAGUCCGAAGGGGAAAUGUUUAACGGAACUAGCUCAUUAAAAACUACAGAUAACUGAAGAAAAUAAAAUACUUCUAGAUGAAUGUGCUGCGAGUACUAAGUCCAUCAUUAAAUGACAGCCACAAAUCUGACCCAACGUACAUAAACUUUAAGGCCUCCGCGAUAACAACCAUAAUAAACGUCUCAAUUAUUGUCCCCAUCAUUAUGUACCAAAGCUCGCAUUCUCGACUCUCCAUAUUCACUAAUUCCCCAAGCGGGCCAAGCCCAAUUGGUGGAAAUGGAAUAAGCCAAGCAAUUGACUCGUUAGAGGUCAUCGGUGAGCAGAGGACUGAAUAUUAAUUUAACCAAACCUACUUACACUAACAGACAGAUGCCAAACUGGGAACAGGAAACUGCCAAAAGCAAACCAUAUUGUUAUUUGUUGGUGACCUGUUAGCCAUAGACCAGUGUUGACUAAAAGUGGGAACCACCGAGAUGAUCGGCAAUACGGCGGUGGGAACCUAGCUCCGCUCAGAAGGGGUUCUCAGUUCUCACGUCUCUGCAACACUAACCAAUCGAACAAAAACCUACAACCAUAAAAAGCUCUGGCAGCCGACAACUUGUCAUCGCAAAAACCCCCCAACACGACUCACCCCACAGCUACAGCUUAAACGCUUGGCACUAAAAGCCAAGACAACAAAAACAAAUACUAGUAGUAGUAGGAGUACAAUUUAAGUAUAACAAUAAAAUUUUAAAAAAAUUGGGGGGGGGGGGGGGGGGGAGGGGAGGGAAGCUUACCAUGAAUGAGAUUGAAGAGACUGCCAUUGGGCUGAUAAUCAAAGACAAUCAGCCUUUCUUGUUUAGCUUGAAAAUAAGCCCUGACUGGAACCAAAUUGGGAUGCCGAAGCACACCAACGGCAUCCAUAUGCUGCUCAAAGGCCUCCGCAGUAGUAAUAGCAGUCUUGCAAGCAUCCAGUCUCUUCACCGAUACAAUUAACUGGUUAUCCAACACAGCUUUAUACGUAGUUCCAAUGGUUCCCCUCCCCAGCAACUCAGCUGACGCCCUCAUUAGCAGCUCCAGCGUGUACAACUCCGCCUCUCCAUUACAAAACACCAAAUUCCCACUCUUCACCUGCUUGAUACCAUGACUGUUAGUUUCAUGUACUUGAUAUAUUUUCUUCUCUUUCACAAUUCCAUCCUCGGCAUUUCCAAUUUGCGUAGAUAUCUCCGCAUUGUUACAACCCAUCUCCGGUGACAAUGCUCUUUUCUUUGCAUCAGCUUGUUCUUCCUCCUUUGGCCUUUUGAAGUAAGCGAAAAUGCAUAAAACUGCUGCAAUCACGAUAAAUACUCCUAUUAUAACCCCUAGGAUCACGCCAACUCUUUUGUGCCUUUUUUUCUGCGACGGAGAAGGGAUCAGCACUUCUCCCUGGGACUGCGAGCUCUGGAGGAGCGGUGCAGGCGGGGCAGCGGCGUCGCCGGCUACCGGAGCAGCGUCGAAGAAGGGAGUAGCGCGGCAUGGUCUGUUGAUGACAUCUCCACAGAGACCAGGGUUCCAUAAGAAUGAAGAAAUGGUGAAUUUUUUGAGAGUGAGAGUGACGGGAACUGGUCCGGUUAGGUUGUUAUUGGAGACGUUGAAGAUUGCUAGCGCGGUCUGGUUCAAUGGAGGGAUUGAGCCGUUGAACCGGUUGGAAUCGAGCCGAAGAUAGUUGAGGCGGUCCAGAACGGCCAAAUCACUGGGGAUUGGACCGGUGAAGUUGUUGUGAGAGAGGUCGAGGAUAAGGAGGCGGUGAAGAGAGAGGAGAGAAGGAGGAAAAGUAGCGGAGAAGGAGUUGUGGUCCAGGAAUAGGGACUUGAGGUUGAGGAGGGGAGAAAGGUCAGGAACCGGACCGGUGAGCGAGUUGUUCUUGAGACUCAAGACUCGGAGCUGAUCGAGGUGAGUCAGAGUGUCGGGGGGAAACUGGCCGCGGAGGCCAAAACCUUGGAGGACAUAACGGACGACUCGGCCUUGUCCGCAUUUAACUCCUUGCCACGAACAGUAGUCAAAACGUUCGUGAAUAGCGUAGAGAAGGUGGUUGUCCAGGUCAGCUUUAGACUUGAAUGAGAGCAGAGAAACGGCGUCGGAAGGGAGUAGGACCAAGGAUGGAGAGGGCGUCGUGGAAAUAGAAAUGGUAGUGGCAGAGAAUAAAGUAGCACUACUAGUAAAGAGUAAAAAACAACGGAGGAGAAGAUUCCCACAUUGUUUUAUUAGAGUAUGCAUGCUGUUGCUGUUGCUGUUGUUCUUGUUGCUGGAGAAGAGGAGUGGGACUGGUUAUUGGACUACGAGUAGUAGUGUUUCGUUUUCAUCUGAUUGGAUGGUGUAUUUGUGGUUUGACAACGGGGACCGGAGUUUGAAACUUCGAUCCAUUGGAGCUGAGGAAAGGGAAGAGAACUUGGGUGGCGGGGAGUGGGCGUGAGAGUGGGACUGCUGAUGGUGGCGGAGGGGUGGACUGGUGGUGGGAGCAAAAGACUAGCUGUGGAGGAAAAGAGGGGGAAAAGAAUAGAAGAAAGCGAAAUGGGAAGCAGCUGGCUGCUGGCUGGGCUGUAAUACUAGUGAAAUACCAGUAGCAUAUCAUGGGUCAGUGUCACGUGAAAGCAGGGUUGAAACUUACAGGCAAAUCAGGGGGAGAAAAUAGAAAUGCAUUUGGGCUUUUGUGUCUCUUUCCUUUCCUUGUAGGACGUGUGCCGCACUAGUUCCUGCCCCUCUCCCAUGGUCACCUGUUUGCUAAAGUCAAUACGUACACAAAAUCCUAUAAAAAAAUUUUUUUUUUUUUUGGGUUUACGUACUUUUAGCUUUUUAACGUGUUUACAAAUCAAUAGUAAUCUGUGGUUUUACAAAUCAAUAAUAGGUUCUGAUUGACAUUAUUAAUUAUGCUCCAAAUUCGCUGCAGGUGCUGGAAAAGUUACCUAAAUAGUGCUUGUGCGGGCAAGAUGACAGAGCCGAGAGUUGUCCCCGUCGAGCUUCUUGCCUGCGACCACAAGGGGAAAUAGAAGGCACCAGGUCCAGCCUCGAGAUUCUCUCAAAAUGACUUUUGUUUGGGAGUCUAGAUGAGAUAGGAGGCAGAUAAGAAUUUGUUACUUUUGAUUGUGAAAAUGGGAGGCGUUUAUAGUCCAAAGUAUUAGUACGGAUUUCGGAAAAUCAGGGUGAUUGAUAGCCAUAUCGGCCCUUAGACGUAAUUUCGGAUUGCUAUCACAUCAAGCGGCUGAAUAAUGUGUCAACCACAAUAUGACUAGAUGUGCAGCUCCACCAUGUCGAGACCAAAAAUGAUAUGGGAUAGCCAGCUUUGAGAAACAGGGUAUUUGUUAGUCGAGGUGGUGGCCAAGGCCUCGCAGCACUAAAUUUUUCUUCUUCCUCUAAGCUAUAAGUUAUGACUUUAGGAUGAUGCAGAGACAUAGAUAGAACUACGGCGUUCAGCAUGGAAGGAAUUGAUUCUCAUUUGGAAGCCAAAUGUAAAUUGUACUAUUCUUUUUUCUUUUCUUUUUUUUUGGCAUUCUCCUGAAGAUUUUUUUUUUUUUUUUUGGUGUUGUGCGGGGGGGGGGGGGGGGGGGGGGGGGAAGGAGGAGGAGGAGGAGGAGGGGAAGUCAAUCAGGAUGCAGUGUGGUAAACGGGCUAGCCGAAUCCAAAAGCUCAAAAAGAAGGAUGUAGGUAUGGCUUGCAUUUGUAACCGUGGCCUACCUGCUUUGCCUUGUUAUUUGUUAAGAAACCCCACCGCAUUUUUGGCCCAUGUCAAGUAGUAGCACAUGUCAAAAGAGUCGUAGUUCUACUGGUGAGGAAGGAGGAUCCUGCAGCUGCUGAAUUUGUCCGUUGUUCCUUGGCUGGGCCUCUUUUCACUUUUUCUUGUUCUUCUGCUCAUCAAUUUCAAGUUGCAGUGCUAUUUGCGACCUGCCGUCAAAACUUAUAUAAUAUCCCCGACAUUAUUAACAUAUAUAUUGUCAAAGUUACCAGUUGAUCGAUCAUGUGAGCUCUGGACACAGCAGCAGUCUUCAGCCAGUUUCCUUCCUCUUAUCCAUGAUUCCAUGUUACAUGCCGUGCCUUCCUGGGAUCAUAGAUGGUUGUCUUCCACUGCCCAAUAUAGGCACCCCACCGGCCACCACCACCCAGUCAGAAACUCUGAUUGCUGCUGUUAAUUUAGGUUUUGACUGAAAACACAAAAUCCUUGGGUGGCAGAGGACACCGUCCAACGCAAAAUACUUCACUGCAUCCACAUACUAUUAUUACACCUCAGGAAGCAUCGAAUUUCUGCUCUGCUCAUCAACCUCAUUCCAUUCCUGAUGCAUACUUUGAUCCAUUCCUGAUGCAUAUUUUGUUAAAAGUUGGAAAGUCCCAGCAUAUAAAACUACUACUAAGUACCGGUUCCACAUGAUGCCAUGUCAUGUCAUUGUCAACUUCUUGUAUUUUCGUCGGUUUUGUUGUCUAAAUUCGCACUAACACGGACACUGAAACUGUGUAUAUGAAUAUAUCUACGUUUGUCUCCCGUCCAAUUUCCUCAAUUACAAAUUGGGAGAGGGAAUGAGUUUCAUUCUCUGUGUCUUCUACUAAUGCCCUCUCUCCUAAUUCUACGCUUCUACCGACACUACCCUAUCAAGUUGGAUUGCUUUUUUUUCUUAAUUAUUUAAGCAUUGCCUAAAACUAAAUCAAUUGUUAUGAACAUUUUCAUUUCUUUCUUGACAGCUGAGCGUUUUUCUCGGAAACAAACCCCCUCACCCCAACCCCCCCCCCCCGGGCCCCCAAAAAAAAGGGAAAAAGUUGUCAACAUACUACUACUAUUCCUACUAUUCUUUCUAUUAUUUGGAGGGUGGCUCUUGGUUAUGGAACUGUAAGCAAGGGUACUUCCAAAUUGGAAAAGUAUAAAAGCAAAUUAUUAGGAUGACCACUAAACUUUUGGAAUCAUCAAAUUUUAACCACUGAACUAUUAAAAGUCUGGUUUUGACCACUGAACAAUUUAAAGUUUAAAUUUUGGAUCAUUCUGUUAGAUUUAAUUAUUAACUAUGUCUCUUUCUUUUGUCUCGUGAAUCGUACGGGCACUCAGAUUUGGCAUAGUUAAUGAUCAAAUCUACUGAAGGUCCGAAAUUUAAACUUUAGAUAGUUCAGUGACCAAAAUUUAACAAUUCUAAAAGUUUAGUGGCCAUCCGGAUAAUUUGCUCAAAGUAUAAAUAAACUAUGCAUAUUAUUUGAUAAAUAAUUGUUUAACGAAUACCUAAUUUCCACUUGUUAAUACUUCUAAUUUGCAUCUAAUUCAAUAUUUAAAUAGACACAUUCACAUUUGCUCUUAAACUUAGCCAUUUUCCAUGGAUGCCCAAUCAACAUGAGCUAAAAUAGGUUUUGAGUGUUUGCCAUAUCUAGUAAGUGUUUAAAUACAAAGAGAAACAUUAUACAUAAGUAGAUGUGAAUUGAAUCUUGAAAAUAAGUUAGAUGUGAUUUACUUAUGCUACGAAUUCUCAUAGAGCACUUACUAGAAAAACCUAUAAAAAAAAAAUAUAAUCAUGUGAUUUAUUGUAUAUUACCCUCAUAGUAAGCUUGUACUUUAACCAUUUUCUGUAUCAUAUUGUACGGUAGGUUAUUAAUUUUUUUGACAAUUUCAUAAUUUUGGAAUUAAUCUAAUGUUUAACAUGAGUUUCAAAUAUUAAUUUUUUUUUUUUGAAAAUAGCGAAGUUCAAUCAGAUGAGUGUCCAAAUGAAAAGGUUUAGACAAUCAUGUGUAUCUUUUUUAUCUGUAAUGCAUGUUCAUCUUUAUAAUCCUAUACGUAUGCAUAAGGCGUAUCACUGAUUUUAUUUUUUUGAUUUAUUGCCUCGCUUAUACUCUAUGUUUUUUCUUCUUUUUUUUUUUAAACAAAUUUCUCUUUUUAGAAGCACGCUGCCACUUUCCUUCUCAAUUUUCCCUUCUUCUUGUCUUUUGACGAUCAUGUUCAAUGUCAAAGUACGCGCGCGGAAACGAAAGAAUUAGAAUUCUUAAACUUGAGAACACGUUCCUAAUCUCUAUAGGAGGAGAGAAUUAGAAUUCCACGUUCACAAAUAUAACAUUUGAAAAGUAUUUUCGAUAGAUUAAUACCCCACACAGAAAAAAGCAUAAUCUAUCAUUCGGGGUUGCUCCAUGCAUUACCAUCCAUCAACUACCAUAUAAACACGGAUUGUUGGAGCGGGCUCAAAUCCCUGAAUAUAUACAUACCUGAUUCAAAAAAAUAUCCAAGUUUGUUGAACAAUCUGCCUAACCAGCAUUAUAACUAUACCAUCAGGAACAUCAGGUAACUAACUCUAUGCACACACACAGAGUAAAAUGGCUUUCAAAUUAAGCAAACAGUUGGAAGUUACAAAUGAAAAGUAUUCAACGCUUAAAGAAGAAAGAAAAAGGGCUGCAAUUUUUAUGGCCCGGCCUUAAAAGACCAAGCUUAUCAUUCAGAUACAAAGAGGAAAGUGAUCACUUUGUUUUUGGAUCUUAAAGUAACUAUUGGGAGGUAAUUAGGUAAAGCAUAAAGCUUUUUCCUCUGAUUCCUACGACCAGUUCUCCUAAAGCAACCAACUUUCAUGGGUUUCAAUAAUUUGUGUACAACGAUCAAAUUUAGCAGCCUAGCCAGCGCCCAUCCUGUAAGGCAUUUGCUUUUUCAUAAUGGGCGAGCGGCUAUCUCUUCCUUUCUUUUGACUUUCAUUGGGAAAAGAGCGCCUACUGGAACUUCUAUCUAUAUGAUUCUUUUUAUCGCCAAGUUCCUAGUGGGGAUCGAAAUAAGAUUAAAGCUUAAAAAAAAUAAAUUGAAGCGUUCUCUAAAGGAAAAAAGAGUUUUGAUCUUAGUUAAGAGUUUUGAUCUAGUAACUAAGGUUAAAAUUCCAAAAAUUUAGAGGUUUAAAUCCACUUCUUCCUUCCGUUUUUUUUUUUUUUUAAAAUCCCAUCGUCCUCCUAUCUUUUUUUUUGGGGGGAGGUGAGGUGGGGGGAGUAAGAAAGAGACAAAGAGUAGCUUACUUACACGAGCAACCCAAUUAUCGCUUAAGGAGGAAUUCUUCUCAAGGUCAUCAGGCUAAUUAAUGGCAAUUAACCGGAAAUUUAGCCACCCAACGCUAUCAGAAUUAUGUUGAUGUGACGUCUCAUAUCUGAACUAACACCUUUUUAUUAACUCCAUCGGAAAAAUCUGUUUUCCGGUAACUUUGCAUGAUUAAAUUCAGAUUACUAGGCAAGUUUCAUUUUGUACGGGACUUGCUAACCUAAAAUCGCACGGGCAAUCUGUUUGUUGAUUCCACUCCAUAUGCAUAAUAAAUAAACCAGCCCGCCUUUCCAAAGUUCUGACAGACUUCUUGGAAUGAGUUUUGUAAUCUUUACCUUCUUUCCCGUUUUCCAUUUGUAAAAUAGCGCAGGUAAUUCCGGGCUCCAACUCCUCAGAUAAAGAUCAUGAAAGGUGCCUGCGUGCGUUUUCUUUGACAAAACGGAAUCUAGCAGUUCAUUGGUCCCCCUCACAACUCUAUAAGAUGAUGCUACCGUUUUAUAAUAGAGGUUUCUUGAAAAAUAAUGGUAGAAUCAUCAAGGAAAAGCGACUUUUGGCUUGUAAUUAGUUACCGAGUCGCUAGAACCAUACCAAAUACCUCCUCUCCUUUACCUGCUCCAAAGUCCAACCACCCCUUCCUUCUACUUCCACUAAACCACAACAUCCAUAGAUCUAGAUGAUGGAGCUGCUAAUCCACUCUCGGAUGAAGAGCAUUUGUCAAAAUCAGUGAAACUUUAUAUCAUUGCCCCAAUCAACUAGAGUCGUAUCUGCUUCAAUUCACUGAAAGUGAACCAAUUAAAGUUACAAAAUAUAUAGCCGCCAAUCCUAGCUGUAUUGUGUGGGGUUUGGACUGUCAUCUUCAUGUUUGACAUGUACCCUCUUGCUUCAACGUCUAUUUCGCCCUGUCUUUAGUUCUCGGCAUCUUUAAAAUCAAACAACUUUCUCUCAAUAAUCCCCACGGGGGAGGAAUUCAGAACUCAGAACUCCAUCUGGAAUAUAUUGUCUGAAUCUCUCAACCGAAAAAAGGGAAAUGAAGAACAAUCUCAGCAGCAGCACGAAGCUUAUCCUCCUCCAUCCUUACAUCCAAAAGCAGGGCAGCUCCAAUAGGCUAUGGCUUCUUGCAUUCAUUUCAUUCUUCACUCUGGCCUUCCUUCUCACCCUGAUUUACACCAGGGAAUCCAUCACAGCUACAACAGCUGCGGCUGCCUCGGCUACAACUGGCUCCAGCAUUAAUCUUCCGCUGUCGAGUUCCGUCGUGAGGGCGCUUGUUCACUAUGCUUCCAACUCCAACAACACCGAUCACAUGUCCCACACCGACAUCAAACAGAUAUCGGAUGUCCUCCAGAAAUGCCGGAGCCCGUGUAAUUUCCUGGUGUUCGGCCUGACUCCCGAAACCCUUCUCUGGAAAGCCCUGAAUCACAACGGGAGAACAGUAUUCAUCGAUGAGAAUCGGUACUACGCUGCGUACAUUGAAGAAAAAUACCCAGAAGUCGAGGCCUAUGACGUGCAGUACACUACCAAAAUAACUGAAGCAAAUGAAUUGAUUGCUGCAGUGAAGGAACAAGUUAUGAAUGAAUGCAGGCCGGUGCAAAAUCUUCUGUUUUCCGAGUGCAAGCUCGGGCUGAAUGAUCUGCCUAAUCAAUUUUACGAAGUUGAUUGGGAUGUUAUUUUGGUAGACGGGCCUCGAGGGUACUGGCCAGAAGCGCCUGGCCGGAUGUCGGCCAUCUUCACAGCAGGUGUUCUGGCUAGGAGCAAAAAAGGAGGGAAUACAAAAACGCAUAUUUUUGUGCAUGAUUUCAAUCAAAAGGUGGACAGAACCACCAGUUAUGAGUACUUAUGCAAGGAAAAUUUGGUGAAAUCCAAAGAUAUGCUCGGACAUUUUGUCCUGGAAAGAGCGGAUGCUAAUGUUUUUCAGUUCUGUCGCAGCAAUUACACCUCAACACCAGCUUCUUCAUCAUCCUCGUCGUCUUCUUAGUUGGUAAUGUGCGUGUCAACACAAAUAAGUUUAGUCCUUUGCCAAUGAUCAGGAGGCGAACAAUUAGAUUACUCCUAUUUAUCCAUCUUUCAAAUUUUGACAUUUUGCUCGCUCCACCAGCUGCUGCUGUUGGUUGCAUGUAAAAUAAAUUUUUUUUUUUUUGGGGUUUUGGCAUGUAAAAUGUAAUUGUUUGUGUUAUAAGUUUCAUGUGCAACCUGAAAACUUGAAAGGAAUCAACAAUUUGAGACGUGUCGUGGAAGUUUUAAUUUCUGCACGAGGAAGAUAAAAACUUGGAAACUACUAAAGUGCUGCCCGGAUUGGCAUACAGAUUAGUACUAUUAUUCUGUACCUAAUCAUUGAUAUCCUAUAUAUUACUCUACAAACUCUGGGACCCUUUCAUGGGAGUCGAGCAAUUCUUUUUCCUUGUGGUGAGGCUACAUUUCAAUUUGAAUCGUCACAUGAAAUUUGUCAAAUCAACUUAUAAGUUGAUUAAAAAUCUUUAUUCUUGUUGAAGUCGAUUGAACUUCAAUCUCCAGGAACUUUAAAUCAAUUGCCGACAGUCCCUAGAACAAAGUUUUGUAUACGCACCUGUUAAGUCAUCUGACAAAUAUUUGCUAGCGUCAUUCAAAAGCCCCUGGAUGAAUUUCUAACGAAUAUGGGGCAAAUAUGUGCUAGCGAUGUCAAGGCUGUAAACAAACCAAAUUCUUAACGAAUAGUCAGUCAGGGUUUGAUUCGAGUUAAAUUCGAACUCAAGCUUGAAUCCAAUUAAUAAUUAGGAUUCGACUAUGGUUCAAAAUCUCGUUUUGAAUUUGCAAGUAUUUAGCUCGUUUAGGCUCAACAAAGCUCCACUAACUUUUUAUAUAUUUUUUAAAAAUAUGUGUUUGUUUUUAUUUUAUGUAAAAAAUAUAUUUCUCUACUAUUUUGUCAUAUAGAAAUUAUACAUGCAUUAUUACUAAAAAUUUAGAAAAAUAUGAGUUUUCAAAUCCAACUCGAACCCAAAUUUAUAGCUCGUGUAGAAUUCGAACUUGAUUUCAAUUUCAAAACAAAAAAUUCCAAUCGAGUUUAAUACCUCGAAUUUUGGAUUCGCUUCAAUUCUUUUACAGUCUGACAAUGACGCCCAGAAUGCUCUUGAAUCUCAAUCCAAUAUAAUGGUAUGGUUACUCCAGUGGAUUUAUCCCUCGUGAAUAAAAAUGGGGAACUGAUUUUCUAAUACCAAUGGGCACUAGAUUAGCAAAGAAUCAUAAAUAUUGAUCCUUUUUUGUAACUACGCUAAUAUUGGGUGAUAUAACAAAUUUUAUUUUUAACUAGGCCCAAUUUAGAAAUGCCGUUUAAGCUCACGAGAAAUGAGUAAAUCUCUUCAAUUCUUACCUUCUACCAAAUGUAUGAGUGAGAGAGAGAGAGAGAGGACUUAAAGAGUUGUUUUUCAAAAAAAAAAAAAAUUGAAAGAGUUAAUUAAAAGUUUGGGGCCUUGGUUUUGGGUGGUUUUUGGGGGGAGGGGGGAAAGGUCGGGGGUUAAAGUGAAAUUACACAUAGUUAUUAUAGUGGCAAGUGGGAAGCUGCAGGCCGCAACGUUAUUAUAUUGGCAAGUGUUGCCAAUGAUCAAGUGACGGUGUUUAUUCAUUUGGCAUCUUUCUCCUCGAGUAGUUAAGUUGAAGUCGGGGAAUAGAUCACAGAACCAGAGAGCUCCAACAACACCAUCGCAAUGACCACCGACUUUAAAACCCUCCCCCUUAUAGGUAACAAAUUUCUUUCACAAAACCCAAGAAUUCUUUUCCCGUCAUUUUCUUUUUGCCAUUUGUUGCAUAAUUUAUCCACUAUAGUUAGCCACCCUGCAAAGAUAAGGAGAUUAAAGGAAAAACAUGACCAUGGUUUCUUUCCUAAUAGUUUUAUUUUAUGCAGUUUCUUUCCUAAGUUGAGGAACACAGAACAAAAGUAGCAGGGAAAAGGCUAGUUAUGUUAUAGUAGUUUAGUUACAUUGAUUGGAUACAGGGAAUGGGAAUACUCAGUCGUUUUCCGGCUUCGUCACCCCGGGAGGAAAAGGGAUCUCUACUGUUGUAUUUAUCUGUAAUUGUCAGCGCAAGGUUUUGAAUAUCCAAAUCGGUAUUUUGGUCUCUUUUUGCUGCCAUUGUUGAACAUAUCCCUGCUGAAUAUUUUACGAUUUCACUCAAAAGAAAAUUGUAUUAUCACCAGUUAAGGUCCUAAAGUUUCAAUUUCUUUCUCUGAAAAAAAAAAAAACUCUUGGAUGUUGGUCAUAAAGGUUACGCUACUUGGUUGAGUGCUACUACUAGUAUAUGAGAACUGACAUUUGCUCGUCUCAGUUGUUUGCUUCUUCUGCUUCUUUGUUUGAAUCUUGCCUAGAUGUUAGUCCUCUUUUGGAGAAAUGGGAUGAUCCAAUCAUGGCUCAAGACAAAGGCGUGGCCGAUGUUGUGCGACAGUUGGGUCAGGCAUGUAAAGAAGCAGGAUUUUUUUACGUGGUAAUUUAUUAUGCUUAAAUGACUUUUUCGUGGUCUUUGACUAUGCAUACUUAUAACGAGAAAGCAUGUAGCAUUUCUUGAUUAAAGUAUCGAGACAUUUAGAUUGUUCUACGCUGGUUUAUUUUAGUGGCUUAGAUGGCAACCAAUUUUAGUUUACUGGCAUAUGAAUGCAAAACCAGAACUGCUAGGGUUCAUGAAUUUAGGAGGCUGCAUUACUAGUUGAAUAUUUUCAUCUCUGUCUUUUACCUAGGCAUGUAGGUAGAAGAUGGUCCUGUUAGAGUUCGUUCAUCUCCACCUGUUUGAACUGCUUCACAAGUAUAAUUUGAUUUCUUUGCGUUACUUUAGUUUUGAGUCACUCACAAGGUACUUGGAAUACCUACAGCCUCUUCUUUUCAACCUCUCUGCUUCUCAUUCUGCUAUUAUAUAUAUGCCUAAAGUUGACUUUGGAUUGCACAGAAGGGCCACGGCAUCCCUGAUUCCCUUGUCAAAGAGGUCAGAAACAUAGCACAUAGAUACUUUGAUUUACCUUAUGAGGAGAAAAUCAAGAUCAAACUCUCUGCAACAACUGGAUACAGGUUUGCUUCUUGUGGAAAAAUUUGAUAUCUAGUAGGCUAUAUGUAGGGUCAAUAUUUUAGUUCCGAUUCAGGCUUCAUCCUUUUAUUUCUUACUAGGAUAACUUAACAUUUUGAUUGCAGAGGAUAUCAGCAUGUUGGAGAAAAUAUAACCAAAGGGGUACCUGAUAUGCAUGAAGCUAUUGAUGUAGGUUUUACUUUGCUCUAGGUCGUACUAUCAUGGAGAUUAUUCUAUAUAUGUACUUUGCCUUGCUGAGUUUGAAUUUUUGGUAAUUACAAAUUUUAAUCACUCAUUAACCUGGUAAAACAUAUAUUUACAAACCUCUGCUGGCUAUAAAUCUGGUAAUCUAUCUGUAGAAUGAAUGGCCUUGUGAACGCUCAAUCGGUCCUGCCAAUGGGUGUGCAAGUUGAUGCUGAGUUGAAUUUGCCUGCCUACCUUAUUAAGGCUUUCUGUGUUGGGGACUUUAUCUUACACCUGCUGUUCUAGAUGUUAUUUGGACAUGUUUUUAUCAUAGUGAAAAACCAAAUAGACGCUGCCAUGGGAAAGAACUGGGGAUGCUUGGGUUUGAAUAUUCCUUGACAACAAGCUGUUACCGACUUAAUGCGUCUUACUAAGUUUAUAUGAUAAUUCCAGGGUCAUUUUUUGAGAUUAGUGAAGGAGAGGGACAUGCUGAAGCCAUUAGGCGUUGUACAUAUGCUGCAUCUGUUGUACAUAGUGUCUUCAUGAAUUCAACAUCUCAUAAUAUGCAUUAUCUUUCCUUUUUAACAUUUUUAUGCAGAAAAUUAUGUUUUCUGUAUUCAUGAUUCAAAUAAAACUUGCUCCUCAAUUACAUGAAAAAUGAGACUAAAACUGCAAUGAAGCUAGAUGUUUUCUUCUGCUUCUUAGUUCUGGAAAAUUUUAGAAUAAUAUAAACUGUAUCUUUUUCUGUUUAUGUUCAACCUCUAUUUUUCUCAUUUUCCUUUUUUUUUUUUUGUUUUGGAGAAUAUCUAUGGUGAUCACAAUGAUAUAGUGGACCAUAUUUUGGAGCUUUAUAUUUUGCAAGCAAAGAAUCUGGAUGGGGUUCAUGUUAGCUUUGAUGCUAUCAUUAUGCUCUUGUAGCUCUUGCAGUUUUCCUCAUCAAUUUAAUCCUUCAGAUCAUUUUCAGUCUUUUGCUUUUGGAUAACAGUGCUAUAAAGAAGUCACAAAAGGAAUGUAUGGAGCUCUUGGUGAAACUAUGCAAGGUUCUAAUGUUUGGUAUGUGAGAAGCCAAACUGUUGUCUUUUAUGGAUAUGGCAUGAAGUUGAACACCAUUGAAGGUUACAAGUGCUUAUCCAAACAAGAAAGAAAGGGAAAAAGAAAAAAAAAUAAAAAAGGAACUCGACAACCUAUCACAAUUUAUUCUCUCUCUCUCUCUCAUCCAAAAACACAGGCACAACAUUCUAGUAUUUACCUGCUUGGUAAGCUUGUUAUUUUUAUGGAAGCAUGAGUACUGCCUGCACAUGGUAACAAGUAUGUUUCCUGGUGUAAAUGACACAUUGUUACCUUCUGUAGGCCAAGUCAUCCGCCGAAUUUCAAAAAAUUGAUGGAGGAGUAUGUCAACCUUUGCACAGGUGCAUUUUGAGUGAAAUUAUAUACCAUUAGCUGGGUUAUUGCUUUAUCUCUGACUCCAGUCCACUGAAUCUGACUUGGAUGCUAAACGUCGACAGAGCUGUCUAGAAAAAUUAUGCGGGGAAUAGCUCUGGCAUUGGGUGGAUCACCAGUUGAAUUUGAAGGGACAAGAGCCGGUGAUCCAUUUUGGGUGCUGCGUAUAAUUGGCUAUCCUGGUGUCUCCCCUGCAAAUGGCCAAGACAUGCCAAAAAAUGAUAUUGGAUGGUGAGAUUGCUGAAGAUGGAUUUCAUCUUCUUUUAUUUCACUUCUAGCACUUGAUUGAUGUGAUUUUGUGCUUGUUUAUGCCUUUUAUCCAAAUGAACGCAGUGGAGCUCAUACGGACUAUGGUAAGAUUCCCCAUCCUGGUUUGGUGUAAGCAUGAGGUGUUCUUAUUUGUACGUGAAGAUGAUCUCUUGUUCUAUACCAGGUCUGCUGACGUUAGUCAAUCAAGAUGAUGGUAUUACUGCUCUUCAGGUAUCGCCCUCCUGUCUACUUUCUUUUUUAUUUGCCUUCAUUUUUUAGCAUUAGUGUGUAUCCUGAAGUUCUUCGUGUUAUACUUAGGUCUGUUUCAUUAGUUUCUGCUUGAAAUAUACAUGUUUCUCUGGUUUUUCAUUGUCACUACUCUGCACUAUUAAACUAGUCCCUUUGUAGGUAAAAAACCUUUCCGGAGAGUGGAUAUCAGCACCACCCAUUCCUGGGACAUUUGUUUGCAAUAUCGGUGACAUGCUCAAGGUAUACAUCUCAAUAAUUGAUUCUCCAGUGGUUUUCAUACUGUCAUCCGAUAACUGUUCUUAAUAUUUGGGGAAUCUUCAGAUUCUAUCCAAUGGCUUUUAUGAAUCAACAUUGCAUCGGGUGACUAACAACUCUCCCAUUUAUCGUGUCUGCGUGGCCUACUUUUAUGAGGUAAUCCUCUCUCUUAAUUUUCCUUUUUUAUUUUGAUUCAGCUUCUUAAUCAAUCUCCUUGGUUUUUUCGCAUGAAUAGCCAAAUUAUGAUGCUGUAAUAGAGCCAUUGGAUGAAUGCGUAAAACAAACUGGUGGAACCAGGAGGUUUGAAGGUGCUGUUUACGGUAAACACUUGGUCAGUAAAGUCCUCACAAAUUUCAUAUACUGAGGAAUAAGUCUCCCCAUUAUGUCUGUUUCGACUGAAUUUUGGGGAUUUCAUCUGUUAGCCUUUGAAAGAAUGUACAAUAAUAUCUUGUGUUUAUUGGAUUAAGUUGUCGGUUGAUUUAGGAUGACAUGGCCUCAUCAAUUUCUCGGAGUUUUUUGAACUCUGUACCUAGUUGAUCCCCGAUUCUUUCAUUUGAUUUUGCCUUGAAUUGUGCAAUUAUUUUGGCGUAUCAGUAGUAUUCAUAAAGCACCCUCAACUUUGUAACAUGAAUAUAAGCUGGUUGGCUUAGGCUUAGGCUUUAACCAUGCAUUAAUGACAGCGAUGGUUUAGUGUAUACACUUAUAAAAAAUUUCGCUUACGGAGGAAGAUUUUAUCCUCCAGCUUCUGACAACAAAAUACAUACAUACACUUAAUAUUACGGCGUAAUGAUAAGGUAGGCACUUAGGCGGCUGGCUGCCGACACCGAAAUUCACGAGCCUGGCCCUUUUAAAGCAGCAUAUGUCGGCGAUGGAGGCCUUGGCCGCUUGGGCACAUGAUCGGAUGUCUGUGGUGGGCCCUUAGAAACAUAAAUGCCGCAAGGCACGUAGUAGAGCCAUUUCGGGUCCGGGCAGGUACAGCGCCUUGAGAAGAAAGCCUCGCAUUCCUCCGGGCUUCUUUGGCAAGGAAGGUCUAGAAUGCAAUUCAUGGUUACGUUCAGGACUUUCUUCUCGAUUAACUUCCUGCAUUCUGGUCCGACUUGAGUGAAGUAAUUGAACUUGAGGUCCAGUACCUCCAGGUCGCCCAGGAUGCACAAGCUCUCUGGAACCGCCCCGUAGAAUUGGUUGUACGACAAGUUCAGCUGCUGAAUAUCUUUCAAGCAUCCGAAUGAUUGUGGAAUGGGACCUGUCAAUUGGUUUAUGCUGACAUCCACAAUAUGUGUUUUAUUCAGAAACCCAAUCUCAUACGGUAGGCAACCGGAGAGACUGUUGUUUAAGAAAAGAACCUCGAGGAGAUUUCUGGAAGUUUGGCCAAUGCUCCUGGGGAUUGGGCCGGUUAAUUCGUUGUUUGCAAAGGUGAGAUAGAGUACAGGGGUUUGGCCAAGAUUGUCGGGGAUGUUUCCAGAGAAUGCGUUGUUGUUGAGGAAGAGUACGUCCAGGUCUAGUGUGAAGGCUUGAGGCGGGAUUGUCCCUGUUAACUGGUUGAACCUGACGUCCAGGUAUGUCAAGUUGGUUGCCCCUAGGGCUGCUGCGGGGAAAGCUCCUACGAGCUUGUUGUUGCUCAGGUCGAACUCGAAGAAGUUUGGAAGUUUGGAUAUUCCAAAGGGAAUGUCACCUGUGAAGUUGUUGGAGUUGACGUGGAAGAUUACCAGGUCCUUGAGAUCUUCAACGAAGUCUGUUGCAACGAGUGGACAGCCAGGUCCGCCGUUAAAGUUGAAGCCAUUGAAAUUGACGCCAACGACUCUAAACUUGUUAUCUUUGGUGCUUCUGUCGCAUACGAAGCCUUUGUAUUUGGAUUUGUCGUAACAGAUGCGGUUGCCCGUCCAGGUUUUGGUGACGCCAAAAGGGUCGUACUUUAUUCUCCUUUUGAACCUUCGGAUUACUUGGAUGGCCAUUUUUAGUUCCUUGGAAAGAGUAAAUGGAGGUGGCGGUGGCGGUGGUGGAGGUGGGGGUGGGGGUGGGGGUGGUGGUGACGGAGGUGGGGGUGGUGGUGGUGGACAGGGAGGAGGGGGCGGUGGCGGCGGGGGUGGACAGGGUGGAGGUGGGGGUGGGGGCGGAGGUGGACAGGGCGGAGGGGGUGGUGGUGGACAGGGAGGAGGUGGUGGAGGUGGGGGUGGCGGCGGAGGUGGACAGGGAGGCGGAGGGGGUGGUGGUGGACAGGGAGGCGGGGGCGGUGGCGGAGGUGGUGGCGGGGAAGGACACUUGGCCUUGGGGGGAUGCAUUGGAGGAUAUGCGGGCUUUGGAGGGGGAGGGGGAGGGGGCUGUGGGCAAUGUUGGCAUUCUCCAUUGUCAGGACGGUAGGCAGGGGAAUAGGGAGGACUGCCAACCCCUAUAACGAUUUCGAGUGUUUCCCUGUUGAUCGGGGUAGUUGCUGGAGUACCAUUACCAACGACUUGAUAAAACCAGCAAGAGUGCAGGAUGACAAAGAAGACAAGAAGAGGAAAUGUGAGUGAGAAAGUGCUCUCUCUCUCCAUAUUCCAACACUUCUGAUGAUUGAACCCGGAAGAAGGCACAACGUAUAUAUGCUAAUGGGGAGGGAAUGGAGGACCCAAUGAUCGGUGAGGUUUAAUGCGGGUGGUUCAGUGAUUUGAUCCAUACUGCCAAUAAAGAGAGAGUUCGUGAGGAUGACGUCCUUCAAUUGUACUAGGCGCGGUUAACAUUUUCUGUUGUUUUGGGCACUAUGAGUGGAGCCUCCUCAUGCAAUAUGUAGAUUCUUUCACAUACAUAAUUUUUUUUUUUUUUUAAAAAAGAGAUUGAAAAGAUAAAUAAAUAUGUUAAAAAAUCGUAAAAUGCCAUUUCUGCAAUUGUGAUCUACUCUCAGAUAGUAAUCGUCUCAGGUAGGCCACCAAAGUGACAUCAGACGUUUCAAAUGUUAAGUUCUCCGCUUUUUCUUUAUUUAAAAGGUAGGCCGUCUUUUAUUCUUUCUAUUUUCUUUUCUGCUUUAAGGUGAAGAGUGUCUUUUUUUUUUUCAAAAGCUUGAUUUUGAUUGUAAACCUGCCCAUCCGUUCCGAAAAUAUUUAAGAUUUACCGGAAAAAAAAUAAAAACUACAACUCAUUAGCUACAGCUAUCUUUACUCCGAUCUACUCUAUAAAUAAGAACAACACUUUCACUUUAAAAAAAAAGAAAAAGAAAAAGAAAAAAGAAAGAAUAAUACAUCGAUGAUGGAUGUCCAAUAACACGACGCACUUAGCUAGCACCUGCAAUGGCUGUGAAUCCGUUCCCUUUCAAACCCAGCAAGUCAGUUGCCCCUUUCACAAAAGGCAAUACCUACACAAACGGCGCAGCAAGUAGGGGAUAGUGAAGGGGAUAGUAACCAGUAGGACAAAACUUCGCAUGAUUGACCUUUCAACGAGGAUCUGUCCUCUUACAUAUUCCUAGGACAAUUGCCCUCCCAAAUCCCAAUGCAAUUCCGGAGGAGCCAUCCCAAUCGUCAAUACAUCAUUCCAAUCUUGUGCAUGUGCACUUCCUCCUUGAUGGCCUACUGUGUCGCAGUUGACAUGCGCAUCCCCAAUCGUCUAUUCUCAACGGCAUAAACAUUUUACACUCAAUUUUGUAUCUGCACUAACAAACUGUUCCCCUAAUAUAUCUUUACAGGCUACUCAGAUGCCAAUGAAAAUUAAAUAUCUUCAAGAGGGAACAAUAGGUUCCACUCUGCCUUUCCCAGAGUUCUAUAACUGCCCUUUUUUGCUGUCUUCUCUGGAAGAGUUCUAUUUUCAUUCCAUCUUUUACUAUUUUAAUGCAAACUUGGGCCACAAAAAAAAGGGUUCAUGAAUCCACCAAGUUAAGGUUUUUAAAUUUUCUGGCACAAUUUCACCACCAAAGUAUUCCUUUAAAUUUCCUAAAGCUUUGCCUUCAACAAUGAUGACCAUCCAAUCUGCAGCCUAUGUCAGAUAGUGAAGCAGCAAAAAGAUAAAAGAGGAAAGUAGAAAACAAGGCAGCUAAACGUGUUGCAUGAAAUUUCAACUGUCAGUGGCACUCGUAUGGUUUCUAACUUGUCCGACACCGGUGCGCACAGUUUUGCUAACACACUAGAUUUUACUGCACUUUUGUCUACAAAGAGAUGUCUAAAUGCUACUGAUAGGAUAGACGAAAACCACUACUCUGCAAAAGGAAGGAAGAUGGAACUUCAUUAUGAUUACAAAGAGCGCUAUGGUAAGAAAACUAAGCAAUCUUUAACCAAAUUCAAUGAAGCCAAGAACAGAAUGACACUGAGGAAGCAUAUAGUGAAACAGUGUUUCACACUGGCAAAUGUCUAAGAAAUGCAAAAGCUAAUACAAUCAACUCAGUACAAGUUACCCUUGGAAGGCACUAUUACCUCACCAACAGCACUGAUCAAGCAAAUAAAUUUCUUCCUACUAAGCAACUCUUCAGGUGAAAGAUUGUAAACAAUUUUAAGCUAAAAUGCUGAUAACCAAACAACAGAGUGAAGUACAUUCAUGAUACUUUAGGACCAUGAUUAACAAAAUUUUCCAGCUCAAAAGCCAAAUAAUGGCAGAAGAAGGAUAAAGUAACUUCUCUUACCUCAUCACAUGUCACAGGAAGAAUCAAGAGGAACACUGAGGUGUUGUAAUCAACUCUCAUGCUGUUAACCUCCUCAUUCAACUACUCGGGCAUUACUUUCACUAGUAGCAAGCUAACAGCUAUUGACUAGCAGUAGAAAGAAUAACAGUGUAACUCAACCUCCUCAGACACCACUUUGGCAGAAUUCUAUACAACAGCAAGCCUCAAAUAUGAAAUCUCUUCCAGGACCAUAAAUCUCAUGUCGCAAAUCCAUUUGCAGAUACCCUCUCCACUCUGCUAUCCUUCACAUAGAGUGGUAUCCUCACACCAAGAUCCCUAAGUCGAUUAACCACGACGUAGAGCAACUCAAAUGUGAGUUUUGAUUGUGCAUUAAGGUGAUCUCUUACAUUUGGAUGUACGCUGAACCAAUCUCCUAGCAUCUUAUGCACAUGGGAACGAAUCAUUCUCCAUGGCACUGGAUAACUCUCACAAAACUUUAAAUAUUCAACUAGUAAAUCCGCCUGGUCCAGCUUUCCACCUACACAGAUAUCAUCACUUCCUGAUACCCAUUCGACAGUACGGUAUCCAGCAAAAAGGGCUGGGUUUUCCAGCAGAGACUCAGCUAAAAGUACCCCCUCAACCCCAGUCUCAUCCAAACAGCUCUGCACAUCUUCCAUGUAUCUUAUAUUCCCAUUAGCCAGAACAGGGAUUCUCAUGACAUCUCUAACAGCCUUGAUGGCAUUCCAAUUGGCACGAAAUUUCUUCCCAUCUUUUUCGUCCCUAGUUCGACCAUGUACUGCCAAAAGAGCACAACCAGCAUCUUCCAACAUCUUGGCAUAAUUGAUUGUGUCCUCAAAAUUCGUGAAAAGUCGUAUUUUGCAGGAGACUGGAACACUAAGGUUGUUUGCUAGUUUUUCUACCAUAGAUUUAACCAAAGAUUGUCCAUAAGGAAAGCUCCAUAAUUCCCUCGCCUAGCGAUAUGCUGCGGACAUCUGCACGGAUGGCAAAUAUACAACGCUUAACUAUGCCUACUUUCAACCAAACUCAACGAAAAGUGAUUGUAAUGAUACAAGCUGACAGCAGGACAACUUCCAGAUGCCAGUUACAUGGAAUUGCAAGGAAAUUAUACUCGAAAGAAUUAGCCACGACAAAAAGUGAGCAAUCAGUAUAGUUAGAGUCAAUAUGGAAAAACUGUUCUAGAAUACAUGUACGAGCGAAUAUGGAGAUAAAUAUGCAGCACUAGGUGCAAUAUCAGCUUAAUGAAAAUGCCCGUUAUGUCAUUCAUUACUGGAGUUCCUCCUUCUACAGUAGUUAGCAAUAGUAGCUAAACAAGGAAGGAAAAACAUGGGUAGAAGGCAUUACCCCAAAUUGAUGUCUACAUAAUCGCAGUAGGGUUCUACUCUCCGCGCAGCCUCCAACAAUAUAUCUGGAUCAUUCGCACAAAAUUGCACAAAUAGCUGACGGUCCUCCUGUCAUCAUUUCUCAGCAAACUUCUCCUUAAUGAAAUUCAAAACUAUACAACUUCACAGACUAAGUAACAAGAAGCAUAAGACAAGUAACUAAAAACAAGACCCGAAAUUACCUUGCAGGUGGUAAACUCUUGAGAGCGGUACUUUUCAGUUUCGGUAAAAAUACGAGAGUGAAGCAUAGGGGUAUAAGCAGCUUGAGCUCCGUACUUGCGGCAAAGCAUGCGGAAGGGGAGCUCGGAGUUGUCGACCACGGGGGCCACUAUGAACUUAGGUUGCCCAAGCUUCUUCCAGUGUGCCCAGGCUCUCUCGAUCCGCGACUCUCUGCUCAGGUACCCGUUUGGAUUUGGGGCCGGGAGGCCGUCCAAAUGGGCUGUCUCUCCUUCUGGUUCUCCUUGUGGUUCGGAACACAGGCGGUCGUCGUCGUCGCCGCCGUCUUGGUUGACGGCGACGUUGCAGUUUGACGAUGAAGAGGAAGUUAGGUUUUGGAUGGCCAUCAAGUUAUACGAUGAAUUGGGCGGCUGUGGGCAAAUACUACGUGUGGCGCAGAGUGGCUUCCUAAUAAAUCUCAUAAGGAGGCGAUGAAGGCUGGGGAGGGUACGCAGCCCAUGACCACCCUGGAAGUUGGUGGGGAAAUUUUUCCUUCAGUUUAUUUGGAGGGAGGAGGCGGGGACCCCGCGGGAUUAUAGCUGUUUAGAUGGGUGAAAAAAAUCGGAUCCGGGGCAGGAAGGCUACGUGUAUUUUGCACGCGCGUAACUCGAUUUACACACAGAUAUAAUUUAUUUUCAAUAACGUGUAACUCAAAAAUAAAAUUUUUUGAAUUCCACACAUAUUGUAAAAAAUGAGGUAUAAAAUAAAAUCUGGACCUUACAAUUUUUUUGAUCAAAUCUUGACCAUGAACUGUCAGGAACGGCCGUAGAACCCUCUUCCAAAAAAAUCAAAUCUUUUCUUCAGACGAGGAUAGGGUUGUUUUGGAGUUGAGGCUCCAAAUUGAGGACGCGGGGCUGGAGCGGUUGUCAGAACAACCGCUCCGGAAGGUGUAACACCAUGUGUACAUGGUGUAACAUCAUCUAUACAAGGUGUAACAAUAGAACAACAGCGAGUAAUAUUAGAACAAUAUUUUUGUGGGUCCCACACGGCGUGAAAAUCGAGUUACAAGACGUGAUUUGAGCCGUACAAAUUUUUGAGAUUUCAUCCAGGCCGUGAACUGUCUGGGACGGUUGUCUCUGGCAACCGUCCAGGCCCCUCGUCCCCAAAUUGAAGUCUGAUGUUGAUGCAUACUAAGUAACUUUUAAGCCGAAUUACGAGGUCAAGACAAUUAAUCCGAGUUACAUAAUAACUCGUAGGCUUGAGCUUACAUAUCAACUAGUAUUUUGAUUGGUGCUAUGCACGGAUUUAUAUGAGAAGGAAGAGAAAUAUGGUCAAAUACAACAUUAUUAUCCCUUUCUCUCAUAUUCUUCCUCUUUGUGCCACUUUUUCCACCUCUAAACCUCCUACUCUCCACUACUCUCCUUUUCACUUUGUGAAUAUAACUUUUUCGCAUCCCUACAACCUUUUGUAAUUCUUUGAAAUCCUUCCCAAUUUUUUUGUAUUCCUACAACCCUUUCUAUUUUUAUCAAAUCCUAUUUUCCCUUUGCUCUAUCUCGCUGCCGCCCAAUUAUCCUAUCUCGUAUCUAAUUUUACAACCCACUUGUCUCCUAUUCUACUAUUAUUUUUAUCUAUUUAUAAAUGUAAAUGGUAACAUAUUUAUUUGGCUCGCCUACUAACAAAUGAGUUUGCGUGUGUAAUUUAAUUGGAUUGAAAUUGGUGACCAAAUUAACCCAUUAAUUAGUGGGUAUGAAAUUGACAGAUUUGGAUCACUUAUUUUGACUUAAUUAAAUUAGAUGUAGAUUCAAACUCAAUCAUUAGUGGGUAAAUCUAAAUUACUCUAAUAAUUAUAUUCUAAUUUUUGCAAAGAUGUAUUCAUCUUUUUUCCUCCUCUUUAAUUUCUAUUAUUUUAUUUUUUAAAAUUUAUCCUACUUCCUUAAUUUCUUUCAUAAAAGUUUAAUAAAUUUCGCGAAUAUUAAUUGAUUGUUUGCAUUAAUAUCUAAAUUAUUUUUAGAUUGUCGUAUAGUGAUAAAAUUUGAAACUCACUGUGAUGAUCAUUUUAGGCUCCUUUAAGCAAAUUUUUAUGUUUUUUCCUCUUUCUUUAGAUAAAAAUUGAUUUAUUAACUUGAUAUGUUGAUAUGAUUUACUAUUUUGUUGCUAUACAAAAUAUGGAUGAAAAAGUAAAUAAAAUUUGGUUGUGGGCUGUGAAUGGAUGAUUGGAUAAUCCAAACCCAUAUAAAUCUAUAUUCAUUUAUGAUUCAUCUAUUUUGAACCAUUAACUAAAUAGGAAUAUAUAGAUUAACCUAAUUAUAACUUACCCAGACUCAUAUGAAUCAUCAAAUUUGAUAACUGUCCCCUAAUCUUUACCUUCGCUAACCCUACAGUUCUAUCUUUUUAAUGCUUUCACUAUUUAGAAUUCAUUAGCUCACUUUUUAAGUGUUUUUGGAUAUAUAAAAAGUUAGAAUUAUUUUUCCAAGUUGCUGCCUCAUUUUUAAGUGUUUUUAAUCAAAUAAAAAGCUAGAAUUGCAAUCAUCGAGAAAAAGUAAACUUUCGGAUGUAAAAUUGGUGAAAUACAACCUUUUUAUCAAAAUUUUGCUAAAAUACCACCAAAAGCAACCUUAUAAAUACACCUUUAUUAAUUUAAAAUUCAUACAUAAAUUUUUCUUUACAUGCACUUUUUGGUAUAUAUGUGCUAAAUGAAAAGUCAUAUAGAUGCUUGCACGAUAUUAAUAUUGAAAUUAUUCUAAGUGCAAAUAAAAUGUCAUAAUUGUUAUUUACAUAAUCCAAUUUAAUGUUAGAGUAUAAUUUCAAUAUUCAAAUUUUAAAACUUUAAAAAACAAACCUACUGAAUAAAAUCCAACAUAAAAAAUAUAAAAUUAUAAAAAGUAAACCUAAAAAGUGCCCUCGGCUUGUUGAAUACAAAAAAAAAAGUUUAAGACCACAAGAAAAUUGAUUUGGUGAUUGAAACAUAAAUUAUUAAAAAAUAAGAGUAAUCGAGUAUAUCAUUAGAAUAUUUUGACAAAUGAUUAUUGUACCCAAAAGGAAAGCGACAAAGAAAUAAUUGGAUGAAUAACUCAAAAAUAGGACUAAUCACAUUAUCUCAAGGAUUUGGCUAGAUAAAUUAAUCCUCUUUAAUGAAGGAAUAAAAAGGGCUAAAGUGAUGAGGAUAUAAUAGGGUGAAUAAUUUUAAAAUGAAACUAAUCAAUUAUCCCUGAGAAAUUUGGCUUGACAAAUGUAUUUUAUUUAAUUAAGAAGUAAAAACGAAUAAAAAAAUAAAUAACAAAUGAUAAACAGUUUAUGAAGGAGAUAGUUGGAAAGUUUUAAAUUUUAAAUUUAACUAGUGAUAGAAUUAGUUAUAACCCACUAUUUUAAAGUUUUUAAUUAGAUUUUAUGUCUAAAAAUAUUCCAAAAUUCUAGAAAAAAUAAUGAGAAAAUUAGAAGCCAUUGAGAGGGUCUCUGCUAAAAACCCUCUCUGCAAUACAUAUAAACAAGCCUAGUACCUUGGACAAACGAAACAAAGGCAAAUUAACAAAUAUCUAACAUACAUCCUAUAGCAUAUGAAUGUUGUCCAAUUCGGUGGAAACAUCUAACAUGUUUCUAUAUGAAAACUUAUGAUGAAAAUACUAUUUUAAAUCCUAUCUCUCCAUACAAAACAAAUAGAAAAUAAAAUCAAAACGCACAAAAUUCAAGAUAUGUUACUAAAUUCUUACAAUUGAAAAUGAACAUGUCUUUUUAAAAAAGAAAAAUAUGUGUCGAAGGAAGAUUUACCUGAUAAUCAAGAGGAGUGGAAAACCAAAAUCGAUACUUUAAUGUGCCAACCGCUUGCACUGGAAAAUACCUAACCAUAUAAAGAGUAUGAGAACCCGAAAAAUUUUCUUAUUUUUAUCGAAUAAUAUUGGCUUAUUUAAAUAUUUAUCCACAUGUUCCCUCCAAAUAAUUUAUUUCAACCCUUUUUGAACCAUUUACAUGGAACUAUGACUUGCAAUAAUAAAUUUAUCCACCUGUUCCGUUAAUAAAUUUAAUUUUCGAAAACUCGUUUAGUGAGAAUAGUGAAUACACGUUUGGAAAUAGUAAUGAGUUUGAAAAUUUGGAAACUUAUAUAUAUUGGUCUUAAAAUAAGUAUUUUUAUGUUUAAGUGCUCAAGUGAUAGUUAGUUGUACUAUCGUUAUAAGAACUUCUUAGAAAUUUAACUCUAUCACGCAUAAAUCGAAAAUACGUGUUUUUACGCGCGCGAUCAAUUGAAGGACUUAAGACCUUUAUUUUGAGACUAUUAAGAGUGAAUAAUGAUAGUAUGAAUGGAAGUGCAAUAGAGAUUUAUUGCACUAGUGAAACAAACCCGAGAGGAAUCAAGCAUGAGACGCACGCGUACGUGCACUAUUCCUAGUUGACUUUUAAAGGAAUUUUUGGCCACAAAUUUUAAAGCUUCUCACGGAAGCUUACCAUCAGCACCAUCUCUUCUUUUCCUUCUCCAAGCAGCCGGCCACACCAAUGGAAGAAAGAGCUAACCUUCUUCAUCAUUUCACUUCACUUUACUCCACCAAAUCACUUCAAAUUUACACUAAACUUUGCUAAACACUUGGAGAGCAACUCAAGUUGGAAAAAGGACUUCAUUUUCACGGUUCUUGUGAGCUUUAAGAGGACCGAAAUUUCUGUCUAAGUCAUCAAUUAAGGUAAUCAAUAAUCAAUCUUGAAAUUCUUGGUUUAUGGAAGUAAUAUAGCACUUAUAAGUUCAUAUCUUCUUGUGGGUAGCUUUAUUUAUGUUGAAAAGUUCUUGUGUGGGCUCUAUGAACUCCCACUAUGAUUUGAUGGACUGAUUUGUGGUGUUUUGAUGUUAUUAAUGUUGGUUUAGUGCUUAAAUUAGUAGAAAUGAGUGAUAUUAUGGAUGAAAGUUCAAAGGGAGUGAAGAUGAAAAACUUUCUGUUUCUGCCCCUGUGAAUGUCCAUGACCCUUAGAGCAAAAUUUUGUAGUUCUAUUGACUUGUUUAUGAUAUAUACAUGUUGUGUGGGUGGUGUAGAAAGUUUCAUCAAAAAAUUUCAUGAUUUGGUUGGCCAAAUGAUGUGUUUUCGGAAGUCAGUAAAAACUGGAAAUUUUCCCGUAACUGCUCUGGCAGUGUUUUUGUUUUGGUUAUAACUUUUUACUUCGAUAUCAAAAUCGAGUGCCGUUUGCUGCACUGGAAACUAGACAUUCCCAGAUUUCCAACGGUAUAAAAUUCACGUCCUGAUUCCUCCUGAGUAGUCUAUACCAAUCGUUUGAACAUGACUAUCCUGUUUCCCUAGUUCACUGGAAGCUCUGUUUUGAGCAGCAAUUUGAUGCUCAAGUAUGAGCUAGUUGUGGGCAGAUUUUGACAACGAUUUCUUCUAAAAAACUGUAGCUUUAUGAAUCUAGUUUUCAACGCUACCAACCACACUCAAUUCCAAGUUGAAUUGAGUGAGUUAUGGCCGUAUUUCGAAACUGACUCAAUGAUUUGAAAUCCUCUUUUGGCUAGUAAAUGUCUAAAUCUUGAUUGGGACUUGUUGUCUGAAAAUUCUUGGUGUUAAUCAUCUACCAAAUGUAUCUUGGAUGUUUCUUAGACAUUGUCUAUGCAAAUAGACCAUGUUUGAGAUACUUGGUUGGUCAAACGUUUUGAAAACGGAAAAAGGAACAACCAAGACAGAUUUGCCUUGGAACUUUCGUGAUUUGGUUAACCAACUUUGCGUACGUAUUUUUCCAUGAAAUUUGACAGAGGCAUAGCCCUUAUAUGGUAGGGUGGUACUGCCAAAUUUGGUGCCAUUCCGAAUCCAUUUCAAUGCUUAAACAAAGUCCCAAAGUUUAUAACUUAAAUCUGAAAAAUUUGCCUAACCGUCUCAAUUUUUCAGCAACUUUGAGCUACUAUAACUUGGUCCUCAAAACUUUGAUUCUUGUUCCGCUCAUUUUUUUUUAAACUUUGAUUGCAACUCUAAUUGAGUUUCAAAUUUGAGGGGUUAUUUCAAAUUCUGUGAAUUUUUCCGAAUUUUCAAAGUUGGUCAAAAAUCAACCCCGAAACUGUCUUGCAAGCCUAAAACAGAAAUUUUGGGCCAAAUUUCGAAUGCCUUCCAUUUGGAAUCAUGGAAAAGUGUAUUUUAGGAACUUUUAGCACUUCGAAAAAAGUUUCCAACGGUACCAAGUUUUUCAAUUUUGGAUUUGUAAUGAGUGAGAUACGAUUUUUCAAAGAUCUCAUAUCAAAACUGAAAUUUUCGAAACUUAAGGAAAUGGAGUUUUUCGAAUUCUCCUUUUUCCCUCGAUAUCACUUGAACGUUUUACACUUGAUUUCAAAGACGAAAACUCGAUUUUUCUUGUGGUUUAAAAACCCCACUUUCGUGUCUUGAUUCGCGAGUAAUUUAGGUUCGCUUUCGUGAGAUUUUUUCUUGGAUUGUACAAGCGUACAAUCAUUCGUGAUAAUUAGGGUAUAUAAAUGAUAGUUCACUAUUAAUUGCUCAAGCUCGCACAAGGACCUUCAAGAGAAUUCCACGGUGGACACCUGAAUAUGAAGUGACAUUUCUUCUUUGUUUAUUUGGUGAGUGUCAAGUAUGUGUUAAAUGCUUAUAUGAUUGAGAUAUUAGUUGUACAAGUGUUAUACAUGACACGUAAACUUACCGAGUCGAGUGUGUACUUUAUCGCACUCGUUCUCAUUUGAAAUAAAUGACUCAUGCUUGACCUGACUUAACUUGCUUGACUUGACGUGACUUGCUUGACUUGACGUGACUUGCUUGAUCUGACUUGACUUGCUUGACCUGACCUGACUUGUCUUGACCUGACCUGACUUGCUUGACCUGACAUAACUUGACUUGAAAAAUAUGCUAUGGCUGCAUAAGUCGAUUGGAGCGAUAUCUCAUCAACCUCUGAACGAUAGCAAGUACCAUACCGAUUUGGUGGGAGGUACCUCUCGAAUCGUCUCAGACCUAUUAACUGAACGAUUGUAAGUACCACACCAAUUCGGGUGAGAGAUAUCCCUCGAAUCGUCUCAGUACCCUAGACCUCUGAACGAUAGCAAGUACCACAUCGAUCCGGGUGGGAGGUACCUCUCGAAUCGUCUCAGAACUCUAAAGCAUUCUAAGUCGAUUGGAGCGAUGUCUCAUCGACCUCUGGACGAUAGUAAGUACCAUAACGAUCCGGGUGGGAGGUACCGCUCGAAUCGUUUCAAAACUAUAAACUGAACGAUAGUAAAUACCACACCGAUUUGGAUGGGAGGUACCUCUCGAGUCAUCACAGAAACAUACAUGGAAUACGUGAAGGGCUACGAACUCAAUUACCUACCCGGGGGACGGGGUGUCGUCACGAGAAGGUAUUAAAAUUGAAUUUGGGCAAGGUAAGAAAUCAUUAGUUCCAGAGAGUUUCUGCAUCCUACUCAAGGGUGUUUAUUAUAAAUUAUGAAAUUUCUUGAAUGUUAUAGUUUUCACUAUUGUGUAAGUGCUAUUAUUAUUGAAUUACUUGUCUUGCAUAUUUUCUUGGCCUCACGAGCAUCCGCUCACCCCGUUAGACUUGCUUUCUUUAACAGGAGCUGAAAUGGAAGGAAUUAUGGAAAGGUCGACUUGAUGGCCUUUUUAUUAGAAUUUUGAAUGUAUUCAUUUAGUCAACUUUUGAAAACUGUAUAUUUUGGGAUUGUAAGAUAUUUUGGUAACUUAUGAUGUAAGACUUGAUCGAUUAUUAAGAAAUUGACCUUCCUUUAUAUUUUCGACUUUUAGUACUGAUUGGUUAUUUUUAAAUUUGAAUUGAAUUUGUACCGAGUUCUGGCGAGAGUUGGACAGGCGUCCCGCAGAUACCCUUGGGUUCGCCCUUGGGAGAAAUAGGAGCGUCACAAAUAGGCUAUAUAUAGGCAUAAGAAUUGAUAAGAAUAUUAAAAAUAGUUUUAUGUUAAUUUAAGUUGCUUAAAGUACAGAACUUUAGAUAGAAAAUAAGAAUUGAUAAGGAUAUAAAGAGAUAUUGAUAAGAAUAUAAAAAGAUGAUAAUAAAAAAUAGUUUUACUAAAGACGUGCAUGCUAAAAAAAUUAUAUGAGUCAUACCUUGUUGUUAGACCUAGAAGUUCACAAAUCAAAAGAGGAGCAAGCGGCCGCAAAUAUAUGAUUAUGAUAGAAUGAUAAUCAGCCGCGAAUAUAGGAUAGAAUGCUAAGGACGGUUUUAUAAGUCAAACAUGGAUGAUAAGGAUGAUUUUAUAUUUGAAAUUUGAUUUAGAUCGAUAUUGAUAAUUGAUUUCGUGCUUAUGAAAAGAUAGAGAUAAACUCCAUAUAGAGCAUAGGUUAUUUUUAAAAAAAAAGGUGAAAAUCAUGGAAUAAAUGAACAAAGGCAAAAGAAGAGAGAGAUGGAAGAGCGUAGAUUAUUUUAUAGAGCACAUUAAAACCACUUGCCCUGUCGUUAAGUCAUGUAGGAAAGAGAAAGCAUGAAACGAUAAAAAUGAAAAUAUGAUUUUAUUAUAUAUAUAUAUGACUAGUAUGAAUACCCGUACUACGCACGAUGUUGACAUUAUUGAAAAUAAAAUGAUGAAUAAAAAAAGGUUAAAAAAUUGUACCAACACAAUUAAAAUGUAAUAUCGGUCUAACAAUAGUUUAAGAUAUGAUAGAAUAUGUAUAUCAUUCAAGAACUGUUUUUUUGGGAAGAUAGAUUUUGAAAAAAUAAUAGAAAUUUAUAUUAGAAAAUGAAUAAUAUAUGAAUAAAAAUGAAUGUAAUUGAAUGUUGUUAAAAUGAAACACUUCCAAAUAUUAUGCAUUUGAUUUGAUAAUUUUGCAUGAAGAUGCGAACACUUUUCACACCAAUCAACUUUUAGUACGAAAGUCAAAAUUGGUGAUUUAAUUAAUUCUGUUGAAUUUUGUGGAGUGCGUACUACAAAUAAAAAUGCACGAUCUUUGCCUGAAUUGAUUCGUUGGUUGAACAACCUUUCACUAUUUUUCUGAGAAAUAAGCAUGUACGAAAUUCAAAAUUAGUGUAUAUUUUUAUAUACUUUAUAAAUAGCAUUAUAAAAAAGCACUAUAUAUCAAGAAAUUCUACCUUUAUUUGUAAUUCUCUGAGAUAAGAAAUAUCACAACCAAAUACGAAUCGUGCAUGUCUAUCUUGUAGAUUAAGAAAGUUCUCUUAAUUAGAGUGAGCACGCAAGAAAGUUGAAUGAGAAUGCUAUGUUUUGGAGGACUUUUAAUUGAAGUGAAAUUCUUAAAUUGGAGAAUUCUUAAUUAGAGUGGGAAAAUGGGGGAAAUGUAAGGAAAACGUGAACGUGAUUAUAGGAUUUUUAGAAGCGGUUAUAAGAUUAGUUAAAAGAUAAACAUUUCUUAAAUUGGAGGACUCUUAUUUGGAGUGGGAGACGUGGGAAAAAUGUGAGUAUAAUUAUAGGUUUUGUAAUAUACUCAAAUCACCGAUGAGAUAAAGUUUGCCUAAAUAAACUUUACAGUAUCCUAAUUCUUUGCAAAAAAAAAAAGCGCUAAAUAGUUAUAAUUGGCAUUGCAAUUUACGGCAACGUGCCAGUGGCAUCUAGUCCUAAUUUUUUUUUGGAUCAAAAUCAAGUCCUAAUUGAUUCUGCUGUUUCUCGAUCAUGUUGUAUGCUUCCAAAUUCUACUUAGCGUGUAAUAAUUGAUAAUGGGUUAUUCUAUUUUUUCAUGGUAUUGGACAGGUGAAAAUCACACCUGAAGUGUGAUAAAUUUACUAUAAACUUCUAAUAUUAUCUCCCCUAAUUUUUGUGUACUUUUUAAAAAUUUUAAACUUUUGUCAACAAUAGGCUAGUCACGCAAAUAAAAAAAAGUGACUGGUCACACAUCUUAGUCUUUGCCCUAAAGAACUCAAUCUAGCAAAUUUCUUAGAACAAUGGUGAAAAAAAUCAUAUUGUUUCUUUUUUUUUUUGGAUCUGAAACAGCCCUAUUCAUUUUUUAAAAAAUAAAUAAAUUGGCCAUCUUACGUUCAUUAAGAAAGGAAAAAAAUUUUUGUCACUACACAUGGAUGUCCGGCCAUCCUAAAAGGAAAAAAAACAAUUGUUCCGUUCUUGCAAUUUUUUUAGAGUUAAAUAUAGUAAACCCCUUAACUUUACAUUUAGUUGCACUUUACCCCUUCAACUUUACAUUUAGUUGCAUAUUUGUGAUUUUUUUGAAACGUGAUUGUAAUUUGCAACGCUCAUUUGUAGGCGUGGUUAUAGGAUCAGUUUAGUGAUAAAUAUUUUUUAAUUAUAAAAAUGUAAAAUUGUAUUAAAAUAGCAUACGAAUGAGCAUUUGUCUUUAAUUAAGAAGUAAAAAGGAUUUAAAGUAUAAAUAACAAACUAUAAAUGGUUUAUGAAGUAGAUAGUGAGAAAGCUUUAAAUUUUAAAUUUGACUGGUGAUAGGGUUGGUUAUAACCCACUACUUUUUAUGUAUUAAAAUAAAUACAAAAAUCUAGAAAAAAGAAUAAGAAGUUUGAAAGUCAUUGAGAGGCUCUUUCCUAAAAACCCACUCUGCAAUUGUAUCUAUAUAAAUUUGAGAAGGGAUUUUUUACAACGAGCCUCCACGUAUCUUCCUACUACCAAUUCCAUUUUUCUAGCAUUUCAUAUUUAAUUUAAUUUAUAAAAUAUAUUUCUCUCAACUUCCACAUCUACUAUUCACAUUUGAAAUUGUUGGUUACUUUUUAAAAUCAUUUCAUUUCAAAUUGUUAGUUAAUGUGCAUGUUAUCCUAUUUGAACUUCAACCCAUCACGUUUCCGAUUGCCUUGCGUUAUUUAUGAUUCUACAAAAAUUAAAACUUCUAUAAGACCAUAAGAAGAGAUAAUAAAUAUAACACAAUUUCAUGCUUUCUUAUUAAUUUAAAUAAGUAAAAUUAUUUACACUCCAUUUCUUAGUUAAAAUUAUUUACACUCCACUUCAAUAAUCAUUUUGAUCAUAUAAUUUUUAUUAAUUAGACUAUAUGAUAAAACAAAUGGUGGAAUUGUAAAUAAUAAAAAAUGGAGUGCAAAUAACAUUUUCUUAGGUAAGAAGUGGCUUCCAUACCUUUCUAAUUUAAAAAAGUAGUAACUCCGCUUAUAUAGAAAUUUGGUUUGAAAUUUAUUAGUGGGAGGGUAAAUAAAAAGAAAACAUUGCCAAAUUUAGUAACAAUAAAAAAGUAAAUGAUAAUAUUUUAUCUUUUAACUUAGUAAUUCUAAGUAAAAGGGCAAAAUUAAAUAGAAAACAAAAAGGAAAUAAUGUCGUGGAUUUAAAAAAUCAAGAAUGAUACCAUUCAUGAAAUUCAAACUAUGAAAUUACUAAAUAAAAAACAAAGUACUACUAGCCUUUUAACAUGAAAUUUUUUAUUGAAAUAUUCAUUUUUGAUAAAAAAAAAUAAUGAUAAUAACAACGCCAAUUCUACCAAAUUUUUUUUAAAAAGUAACAUUAUAGCUUAAGAGAAAUAUAUAGAACAUUCAACCCGUUUGGAUUAGCUGUUUUUGAGGUUGUUUUUCAAAAACAGCACUGUAGCAUUUCGUUUUUCAAAUACAAAUCCGCUUGGAUUAGUUAUUUUUGGGGUUGUUUUUCUAAAACUAUAUGAAAAACUUUUACUGUAGAUUUUUUUGAAUUAUUUUUGAGGUAUUUUUAAAACAUAUUUUUGAGUAUUUUUAUAAUUUUUUAUUUUUUUAUUUUUAUAUUUAUAUACAUUUAUGCAUUUAUAAUACAUUUAUAAAUAUUUAUAAAUAAAUAUAUUUAUAUAAAAAUAUAUAAAUGCAUUAUAUUAUAUAUAAUACAUAAUAUAAAUAUAUUUAUAAAUGUAUAAAUUAUAAAUGAAUAUUAUAUAAAUGUUUAUUAUAAUUUAAAAUUUAAAAUUUUUAUAUUUUUAUAUUUUUAUACAUUUAUGCAUUUAUAAUAUAUUUAUAAAUAAAUAUAUUUAUAUAUUUAAAUAAAUAUAUACAUAAUAUAAAUAUAUUUAUAAAUGUAUAACUGUAUAUUAUUAUAAAUGUAUAAAUUAUAAAUAAAUAUCAUAUAAAUGUAUAAUUAAUAAUUAAUAAUUUUUAUAUUUUUAUAUUUAUAUACAUUUAUGCAUUUAUAAUACAUUUAUAAAUGAAUAUAUUUAUAUAAAAAUGUAUAAAUGUAUUAUAUUAUAUGUAAUAGAUAAUUUAAAUAUAUUAAUAAAUGUAUAAAUGUAUAUUAUUAUAAAUGUGUAUAAAUUAUAAAUUAAUAUUAUAUAAAUGUAUAAAUUAAUAUAUUAUAAAUAUAUAUUAAUAUUAUGUAUAAAUGUAUGAAUAUAAUUAAUAUAAAUAUAUAAAUGUGUUAAUAUUAUGUAUAAAUAUAUAAUUAAUAUUAUGUAUAUUAAUAUAAAUGUAUAAAUGUAUUAUAUUAUAUAUAAUACAUAAUAUAAUGUAUUUUAUAAAUAUACAUAUAUAUAUUAUGUAUAAAUGUAUAAUAUAUAUAAUAUAUUAUGUAUAUAUUAAAUAUAUAAUAUAUAAUAUAUAAUAUACAAUAUUUAUAUAAAUGUAUAAUUACAUAUUUAUAUUAUAUAUAAUUUAUAUAAUAUAUGAUAUUUAUAUAAAUAUAUUAUAAAUGUAUACAAAUAUAUUUUAUAUAAAAUAUUAUAUUUAUAAAAUGUAUAAAUUAAUAUAUAAAUAUAUAAAUAUAUAAUAUAAAUUAAUAUUAAUAUAAUUUAUAUAUAAUAUACAUAAUUGAAAUAUACAUAUUAUAUAUAUUAAUAUCUAUUAUAAAACAAAAUUGCAUAAAUAUAUUUAUAAAUUUAUAUAUAUAAAUAAAUGUAUUUAUAUAAAUAUAUAAUAUUUAUUUCAAAUUAUAUAUUAUAUAAUAUUAUACAUAAUUGGAAUAAAUAUAUUUAAAUUAAUAUAAUAUAUAUAUCCUAUAUUUAAUUGAAAUAAACAUAUUAAAUAUGUAUUUGGAGUUGUUUUUGAUAUAUUGUUUGGAUAUGUGUUUUUGAAAUUGUUUUUGAAAUACACAUUUACUGUAGCAUUUGGAAUGUGAAAAACAGUUUUUCAAAAACAGCCCCAAAAACAAGAAUCCAAACGGACCCGUACGUAAUUUGUAUAUAUCUGGCCCAAAUUUGACAUUAGAUUUGAAUAAGAGUGCAAAAUCCAAACACUAAGGAUAAGUUUUGGUAUCACUAAGGAUACAUAUUUUAUGUAAAUAUGUAUUUGUUAUGUUAAAUAUAUAUAUAUAUAUUGAUUGUAAUACUUGAGAAUAUUAUAGAUAUUAUCAGUUUUUCAUUUUCAUUUUUAGAUACUAAUAAUUGCAACUAUUGCAAUUAAUUUUUAAUUUUAUAUUUUCAUUAUGAUAGGUAAAGUUAAAUAUAUUGGGUCACAGGGAUAUGAAUUUAGAGGUUAGGUAAAGGGGGAAUAGGGAGGGAAGAAAAUGGUGAGAAGUUGAAAAAUAGCAGGAAAGAUUGAAGAAGAAAUAUGGGUUACAAGGAUGGGCGGAAAAGGGAGAGAAGAAAAAAGGGGAUUGCAGGGAUAUGACAGAAAUGACAAAAAAUAAUAAUAAUAGAGAGAGUGACACCAUGAUAGAAGAUAUGAAAGUCAUAUGAGGCAUUUGAUGACUAAUCUAAAUGCGGUCAACAAUUUUAGGGGCACAAGAUAUGAGAAAGAUUUUUUUCUAAAAAUGGAAGAAAAUAAAUUGGUUAUAAUUUAUUUUUUUAUAUUAUAAGUUUUGAUAUAUGGGUAUAACAUAAUAUGUUUUGUCGGAUAUUAAGAAAUUGACCUUUUUCUAUAAAACUUUUCUUACCUUACCAUCCAACCCAACCAUAUCCUUAAAUGCGUUAAUAAUUCUUUUAUCAUGUAAAUCAUUAUAGAUUAUUUUUUUUUUCAAAUUAUUAAGCAUACACUUCUUUAAAAUUUUGAGUCUGCUGUGGGAUAUAUAAAGUAAUUUCCCACUAAAAAAUACAACUAGUGAUUAAACCGAUUCAGUAAUUCCCAAGAAAGAUCGUCGAAACAAUCUCCUUAGACAGAAUUACUUGGAAUGGUAAUUCUGUCUAAGGAGAUUAUUUCGACGAUCUUUCCUGGGAAUUACUAAAUCGAUUUAAUCACUAGUUGUAUUUUUGAGUGGAAAAUUACCCGGUUUCCCCAACAGGAUAUCACACAUAAUAUUAUAUAUACAUUAUUAGUAUAUAAAAUAUUUACUCUAUCAAUUAAAAGGAGCUCGAGAACCCAUCACAAUUUACUCUCUCUCUCUCUCUCUCAUCCAAAAACACAGGCACAACAUUCUAGUAUUCACAUACUUGGUAAGCUUGUUAUUUUUAUGGAAGCAUGAGUACUGCCUGCACAUGGUAACAAGUAUCUUUCCUAGUGUGAAUGAUACGUUGUUACCUUCUGUAGCCAAGUCAUCCGCCGAAUUUCAAAAAAUUGAUGGAGGAGUAUGUCAACUUUUGCACAGGUGCAUUUUGAGUGAAAUUAUAUACCAUUAGCUGGGUUAUUGCUUUAUCUCUGACUCCAGUCCACUGAAUGUGACCUGGAUGCUAAACUUCGACAGAGCUGUCUAGAAAAAUUAUGCGGGGUAUAGCUCUGGCAUUGGGUGGAUCACCAGUUGAAUUUGAAGGGACAAUAGCCGGUGAUCCAUUUUGGGUGCUGCGUAUAAUUGGCUAUCCUGGUGUCUCCCCUGCAAAUGGCCAAGACAUGCCAAAAAAUGAUAUUGGAUGGUGAGAUUGCUGAAGAUGGAUUUCAUCUUCUUUUAUUUCACUUCUAGCACUUGAUUGAUAUGAUUUUGUGCUUGUUUAUGUCUUUUAUCCAAAUGAACGCAGUGGAGCUCAUACGGAGUUUGGUGUAAGCAUGAGGUGUUCUUAUUUAUACGUGACGAUGACCUCUUGUUCUAUACCAGGUCUGGUGACGUUAGUCAAUCAAGAUGAUGGUAUUACUGCUCUUCAGGUAUCGCCCUCCUGUCUACUUUCUUCUUUAUUUGCCUUCAUUUUUUAGCAUUAGUGUGUAUCCUGAAGUUCUUCGUGUUAAACUUGGGUCUGUUUCAUUAGUUUCUGCUUGAAAUAUGCAUGUUUCUCUGUGUUCCAUUGACACCACUCUGCACUCUUAAAACUUUCAUUAGUUUCUGCUUGAAAUAUACAUGUUUCUCUGGUUUUUCAUUGUCACUACUCUGCACUCUUAAACUAGUCCCUUUGUAGGUAAAAAACCUUUCUGGAGAGUGGAUAUCAGGACCACCCAUUCCUGGGACAUUUGUUCGCAAUAUCAGUGACAUGCUGAAGGUAUGCAUCUCAAUAAUUGAUUCUCCAGUGGUUUUCAUGCUGUCAUCCGAUAACUGUUCUUAAUAUUUGGGAAUCUUCAGAUUCUAUCCAAUGGCCUUUAUGAAUCAACAUUGCAUCGGGUGACUAACAACUCUCCCAUUUAUCGGGUCUGCGUGGCCUACUUUUAUGAGGUAAUCCUCUCUCUUAAUUUUCCUUUUUUAUUUUGAUUCAGCUUCUUAAUCAAUCUCCUUGGUUUUUUUCACAUGAAUAGCCAAAUUAUGAUGCUGUAAUAGAGCCAUUGGAUGUAAGCGUAAAACAAACUGGUGGAACCACGAGGUUUGAAGGUGCUGUUUACGGUAAACACUUGGUCAGUAAAGUCCUGACAAAUUUCAUAUACUGAGGAAUAAAUAUAUCUCCCCAUUUUGCCUGUUUCGACUGAAUCUCUCACAUUCACGAAUUUUGGGGAUUUCAUCCGUUAGCCGUUGAAAGGAUGUACAAUAAUAUCUUGUGUUUAUUGGAUUAAGUUGUCGGUUGAUUUAAGAUGACAUGACCUCAUCAAGUUCUCGGAGUUUUUGGAACUCUGUACCUAGCUGAUCCCCGUUUCUUUCAUUUGGUUUUGCCUUGAAUUGUGCAAUUAUGUUGGCGUAUCAGUAUUCAACUAUUCAUAAAGCACCCUCAACUUUGGAACAUAAAUAUAAGCUGGUUGGCUUAGGCUUUAACUACGUAUUAAUGACAGCGAUGGUUUACUGUAUACACUUAUAAAAUACUCCCUCCGUCCCACUUUGACAGUUUUGAUUCUUUUUUUACACAAUUUAAGAAAAAGUAGUUAAUUUUAUUGAAACAAUCAAUUUAGGUGGCUAUUUUUCUAAAAUACACUCACAUUAAUUAGAGUACAACUUUAUGAGAACUUGAAUUGAUAGUAAAAAAAGAAUAAACUCUCAUUAAAUGGGGUAGGUUUAUAGUAACAACAACUUACAUUGAAUAAGGGUAUUUUAAGAAAAUUAAAAUACAAUUACAUUCUUCAAUUGGAAAGUGGACUAUAAUUUGGGACAGACGAAAAAGGAAAACAGGACUAUCAAAGUGGGACGGAGGGAGUAUUUCGCGGACAGAGGAAGAUUUUCUCCUCCAGCUUCUGACAACAAAAUACAUACAUAGACUUAAUAUUACGGCGUAAUGAUGGGGUAGGCACUUAGGCGGCUGGCUGCCGACACCGAAAUUCACGAGCCUGGCUCUUUUAAAGCAGCAUAUGUCGGCGAUGGAGGCCUUGCCCGCUUGGGCACAUGAUCGGAUGUCUGUGGUGUGCCCUUAGAAACAUAAAUGCCGCAAGGCACGUAGUUGAGCCAUUUCGGGUCCGGGCAGGUCCAGCGCCUUGAGAAGAAAGCCUCGCAUUCCUCGGGGCUUCUUUGCGAAGGAAGGUCUAGAAUGCAAUUCAUGGUUACGUUCAGGACUUUCUUCUCGAUUAACUUCCAGCAUUCUGGUCCGACUUGAGUGAAAUAAUUGAACUUGAGGUCCAGUACCUCCAGGUCGCCCAGGAUGCACAAGCUCUCUGGAACCGCCCCGUAGAAUUGGUUGUACGACAAGUUCAGCUGCUGAAUAUCUUUCAAGCACCCGAAUGAUUGUGGAAUGGGACCUGUCAAUUGGUUUAUGCUGACAUCCACAAUAUGUGUUUUAUUCAGAAACCCAAUCUCAUAAGGUAGGCAACCGGAGAGGCUGUUGUUUAAGAAAAGAACCUCGAGGAGAUUUCUGGAAGUUUGGCCAAUGCUCUUGGGGAUUGGGCCGGUUAAUUCGUUGUUUGCAAAGGUGAGAUAGAGUACAGGGGUUUGGCCAAGAUUGUGGGGGAUUUUUCCGGAGAAUGCGUUGUUGUUGAGGAAGAGCACGUCCAGGUCUAGUGUGAAGGCCUGAGGCGGGAUUGUCCCUGUUAACUGGUUGAACCUGACGUCCAGGUAUGUCAAGUUGGUUGCCCCUAGGGCUGCUGCGGGGAAAGCUCCUACGAGCUUGUUGUUGCUCAGGUCGAACUCGAAGAAGUUUGGAAGUUUGGAUAUUCCAAAGGGAAUGUCACCUGUGAAGUUGUUGGAGUUGACAUGGAAGAUUACCAGGUCCUUGAGAUCUUCAACGAAGUCUGUUGCAACGAGUGGACAGCCAGGUCCGCCGUUAAAGUUGAAGCCAUUGAAAUUGACGCCAACGACUCUAAACUUGUUAUCUUUGGUGCUUCUGUCGCACACGAAGCCUUUGUAUUUGGAUUUGUCGUAACAAAUGCGGUUGCCCGUCCAGGUUUUGGUGACGCCAAAAGGGUCGCACUUUAUUCUCCUUUUGAACCUUUGGAUUACUUGGAUGGCCAUUUUUAGUUCCUCGGAAAGAGUAAAUGGAGGGGGCGGGGGUGGACAGGGAGGAGGGGGCGGUGGCGACGGGGGUGGAGGGCAGGGGGGCUGCAUUGGAGGCUGUGGGCAAUCUUGGCAUUCUCCAUUGUCAGGAGGGUAGGCAGGGGAAUAGGGAGGACUGCCAACCCCUAUAACGAUUUCGAGUGUUUCCCUGUUGAUCGGGGUAGUUGCUGGAGUACCAUUACCAACGACUUGAUAAAACCAGCAAGAGUGCAGGAUAACAAAGAAGACAAGAAGAGGAAAUGUGAGUGAGAAAGUGUUCUCUCUCUCCAUAUUCCAACACUUCUGAUGAUUGAACCAGGAGGAAGGCACAACCUAUAUAUGCUAAUGGGUAGGGAAUGGCAAUGAUAGGUGAUUCAGUGAUUUGAGCCAUACUGCCAAUAAAGAGAGAUGAGUUCAUGAGGAUGACGUCCUUCAAUUGUACCAUGAGUUUCUGUUGUUUUGGGCACUAUGAGUGGGGCUUCCUCAUCAGGGCGGAGCCAGAAAAAAAUCUUAGAAGUAACAUGUGAAAUUUAAGAGGGGCAGUGGGGACCGUGCCCCCAGUGCCCCCACCUUAAAUCUGCCUUGUUCCUCAUGCAAUAUGUAGAUUCUUUUACAUGUGUUGUGUUGUGUGUAUACAUAAAAUUUUAAAAAUAAAUAAAUAUGUUAAAAAAUGUGUUUAUAAUAAUACAAGUAAAUAAUUUUUUGAUAAAUAAUUACCAUCCAAACGGAUCAAGUAUUUAAGGAGUUUACAAGUUUUUAAGAAAUGAAAAUUAAUACUACUACUCAGAGCAUUUUAAUCGUAAAAUGCCAUUUCUGCAAUUGACCAGUGAUCUACGUGUCAGAUAGUAUUGGAUUUUUAUUUGUAGUAAGGUAGGCCGCCAAAGUGACAUCAGACGUUUCAAAUGUUAAGUUCUCCGCUUAAAGUUUGCCGUCUUUUAUUCUUUCUAUUUUCUUUUCUGCUUUAGGGUGAAGAGUGUCUUCUUUUUUUUUUUUACAAAAGCUUGAUUUUGAUUGUAAACCUACCCAUACGUUCCGAAAAUAUUUAAGAUUUACCGGAAAAAAAAAAUAAAAACUACAACUUAUUAGCUACAGCUAUCUUUACUCCGAUCUACUCUAUAAAUAAGAGCAACACUUUCACUUUAAAAGAAAAAAGAAAGAAUAAUACAUCGAUGAUGUCCAAUAACACGACGGACUUGGCAGGAUGAAGCGGCCUGCAAUGGCUGUGAAUCCGUUCCCUUUCAAAACCAGCAAGUCCGUUGCCCCAGCGCUCCCCUUUUACAAAAGGCAACCGACACAUCCGCCGCAGCAGGUUCGAGACAGCUCAAAAGGCAGGCCGCCAGAAAAGUGAAAGAGAUAGUAGCCAGUAGGACAAAACUUCGCAUGAUUGACCUUUCAACGAGGAUCUGUCCUCUUACUAUUAUUUCCUAGGACAAUUGCCCUCCCAAUGCAAUUCCGGAGGAGCCAUCCCAAUCGUCAAUACAUCCUUCCAAUCUUGUGCAUGUGCACUUCCUCCUUGAUGUUCCUACUGUGUCGCAGUUGACAUGUGCAUCCCCAAUCGUCUAUUCUCACCGGCAUAAACAUUUUACACUCAAUUUUGUAUCUGCACUAACAAACUGUUCCCCUAAUAUAUCUUUACAGGCUACUCAGAUGCCAAGGAAAAUUAAACAAAUAUCUUCAAGAGGGACCAAUAGGUUCCACUCUGCCUUUCCCAGAGUUCUAUAGCUGCCCUUUUCUGCUGUCUUCUCUGGAAGAGUUCUAUUUUCAUUCCAUCUUUUACUAUUUUAAUGCAAACUAGGGCCAAAAAAAAAAAAGGGUUCACGAAUCUACCAAGUUAAGGUUUUUAAAUUUUCUGGCACAAUUUCACCACCAAAGUAUUCCUUUAAAAUUCCUAAAGCUUUGCCUUCAACAAUGAUGACCAUCCAAUCUGCAGCCUAUGUCAGAUAGUGAAGCAGCAAAAAGAUAAAAGAGGAAAGUAGAAAACAAGGCAGCUAAACGUGUCGCAUGAAAUUUCAACUGUCAGUGGCACUCGUAUGGUUUCUAACUUGUCCGACACUGGCGCACACAGUUUUGCCAACACUCUAGAUUUUAUUGCACUUUUGUCUACAAAGAGACGUCUAAAUGCUACUGAUAGGAUAGAUGAAAACCACUACUCUGCAAAAGGAAGGAAGAUGGAACUUCAUUAUGAUUGCAAAGAGCGCUAUGGUGAGAAAACUAAGCAAUCUUUAACUAAAUUCAAUGAAGCCAAGAACAGAAUGACACUGAGGAAGCAUAUAGUGAAACAGUGUUUCACACUGGCAAAUGUCUAACAAAUGCAAAAGCUAAUACAAUGAACUCAGAACAAGUUAUCCUUGGAAGGCACUAUUACCUCACCAACAGCACUGAUCAAGCAAACAAAUUUCUUCGUACUAAGCAACUCUUCAGGUGAAAGAUUGUAAACAAUUCUAAGCUAAAGUGCUGAUUACCGAACAACAGAGUGAAGUACAUUCAUGAUACUUUAGGACCAUGAUUAACAAAAUAUUCCAGCUCAAAAGCCAAAUAAUGGCAGAAGAAGGAUAAAGUAACUUCUCUUACCUCAUCACAUGUCACAGGAAGAAUCAAGAGGAAUCAACUCUCAUGCUGUUAACCUCCUCAUUCAACCACUCGGGCAUUACUUCCACUAGUAGCAAGCUAACAGCUAUUGACUAGCAGUAGAAAGAAUAACAGUGUAACUCAACCUCCUCAGACACCACUUUGGCAGAAUUCUAUACUACAGCAAGCCUCAAAUAUGAAAUCUCUUCCAGGACCAUAAAUCUCAUGUCGCAAAUCCAUUUGCAGAUGCCCUCUCCACUCUGCUAUCCUUCACAUACAGUGGUAUCCUCACACCAAGAUCCCUAAGUCGAUUAACCACGUCGUAGAGAAACUCAAAUGUGAGUUUUGAUUGUGCAUUAAGGUCAUCUCUUACAUUUGGAUGUACCCUGAACCAAUCUCCUAGCAUCUUAUGCACAUGGGAACGAAUCAUUCUCCAUGGCACUGGAUAACUCUCACAAAACUUUAAAUAUUCAACUAGUAAAUCCGCCUGGUCCAGUUUUCCAUCUACACAGAUAUCAUCACUUCCUGAUACCCAUUCGACAGUACGGUAUCCAGCAAAGAGGGCUGGGUUUUCCAGCAGAGACUCAGCUGAAAGUACCCCCUCAACCGCAGUCUCUUCCAAACAGCUCUGCACAUCUUCCAUGUAUCUUAUAUUCCCAUUAGCCAGAACAGGGAUUCUCAUGACAUCUCUAACAGCCUUGAUGGCACUCCAAUUGGCACGAAAUUUCUUCCCAUCUUUUUCAUCCCUAGUCCGACCAUGUACUGCCAAAAGAGCACAACCAGCAUCUUCCAACAUCUUGGCAUAAUUGAUUGUGUCUUCCAAAUUCGGGAAAAGUCGUAUUUUGCAGGAGAUUGGAACACUAAGGUUGUUUGCUAGUUUUUCUACCAUAGAUUUAACCAAAGGAAGAUUGUCCAUAAGGAAAGCUCCAUAAUUCCCUCGCCUAGCGAUACGCUGCGGACAUCUGCACGGAUGGCAAAUAUACAACGCUUAACUAUGCCUACUUUCAACCAAACUCAACGAAAAGUGAUUGUAAUGGUACAAGCUCACAGCAAGACAACUUCCAGAUGCCAGUUACAUGGAAUUGCAAGGAAAUUAUACUCGAAAGAAUUAGCCACGGCAAAAAGUGAGCAAUCAGUAUAGUUAGAGUCAAUAUGGAAAAACUGUUCUAGAAUACAUGUACGAGAUAAAUAUGCAGCACUAGGUGCAAUAUCAGCUUAAUGAAAAUGCCCGUUAUGUCAUUCAUUACGGGAGUUCCUCCUUCUACAGUAGUUAGCAAUAGUAGCUAAACAAGGAAGGAAAAACAUGGGUAGAAGGCGUUACCCCAAAUUGAUGUCUACAUAAUCGCAGUAGGGUUCUACUCUCCGCGUAGCCUCCAACAAUAUAUCUGGAUCAUUCGCACAAAAUUGCACAAAUAGCGGACGGUCCUCCUGUCAUUAUUUCUCAGCAAAUUUCUCCUUAAUGAAAUUCAAAACUAUACAACUUCACAGACUAAGUAACAAGAAGCAUAAGACAAGUAACUAAAAACAAGACCCGAAAUUACCUUGCAGGUGGUAAAUUCUUGAGAGCGGUACUUUUCAGUUUCGGUAAAAAUACGAGAGUGAAGCAUAGGGGUAUAAGCAGCUUGAGCUCCGUACUUGCGGCAAAGCAUGCGGAAGGGGAGCUCGGAGUUGUCGACCAUGGGGGCCACUAUGAACUUAGGUUGCCCAAGCUUCUUCCAGUGUGCCCAGGCUCUCUCGAUCCGCGACUCUGUGCUCAAGUACCCGUUUGGAUUUGGGGCCGGGAGGCCGUCCAAAUGGGCUGUCUCUCCUUCUGGUUCUCCUUGUGGUUCGGAACAUAGGCGGUCGUCGUCGUUGCAGUUUGACGAUGAAGAGGAAGUUAGGGUUUCGAUGGCCAUCAAGUUAUACGAUGAAUUGGGCGGCUGUGGGCAAAUACUACGUGUGGCGCAGAGUGGCUUCCUAAUAAAUCUCAUAAGGAGGCGAUGGAGGCUGGGGAGGGUACGCAGCCCAUGACCACCCUUGAAGUUGGGGAGGGGGAAGUUUUUGCUUCAGUUUAUUUGGAGGGAGGAGGCGGGGGCCCGCGGGAUUAUAGCUGUUUUAGAUGGGUAAAAAAAAUCAAAUCUUUUGUUCAGACAAGGAUAGGGUUGUUUUGGAGCUGAGGCUCCAAAUAAGUCUGAUCUUGAUGCAUUCUAAGUAACUUUUAAGCCGAAUUACUCAAGACGAUUAAUCCGAGUUACAUAAUAACUCGCAGGCUCAAGCUUACGUAUCAACUAUCAACUAGUAUUUUAACCUGUGCUAUGCACAGGUUUAUAUGAGAAUGAUGGAAAAUAUUGUCAAAUACAAUAUAUUAUUAUUACCCCUUUCUCUCGUAUUCUCGUCAUUCAUACCAUUUUUUUCACCUCUCAACCUCUUCUUUCCUCAAUAUUUCCCUUACUCUCCACUACUCUCAUUUUCACUUUUUGAAUCUAACUUUCUCACAUCCCAACAAUCUUUUCUCAUUUCUUCAGAUUCUACCCAAUUUUUUUUGUAUCCCUACAAUCCUUUCUCGUUUUCAUCAAAUUCUAGUUUCUCUUGGCUUUAUCGCGCUCCCACCCAAUUAUCCUAUCUUUUAUUUAAUUUUACAGUCCACUUGUCUCCUAUUCUAUUAUUAUUUUCAUCUAUUUAUAAAUGUAAAUGGCAACUGACUCGCAUAUUAACAAAUGAGUUUGCGUGUGUAAUUUAACUGGACACAAAUGAGUGACCAAAUUAACCCAUUAAUUAGUGGGUAUGAAAUUGAUAGAUUUGGAUCACUUAUUUUGACUUAAUUAAAUUAGACGUAGAUUCAAACUCAAUCAUUAGUGGGUAAAUCUAAAUUACUCUAAUAAUUAUAUUCUAAUUUUUGCAAAGAUGUAUUCAUCAUUUUUCCUUUUCUUUAAUUUCUAUUAUUUUAUUUUUAAAAAUUUAUCAUACUUCCUCCAUUCCUUUCAUAAAAGUUUAAUAAAUAUUGCGAAUGUUAAUUGAUUGUUUGCAUUAAUACUUAAAUUAUUUUUAGAAUAUAGUAAAGUGACAAAAUUUGAAACUCACUAUGAGCAAUUUUUAAAGUUUUUUCUCCUUCUUUAGGUAAAAAUUGUUUUAUUAACUUCAUAUGUUGAUAUGAUUUACUAUUUUGUUACUAAACAAAAUAUGGAUGAAAAAGUAAAUAAAAUUUAGUAGCGGGUCGUGAAUGGGUGAUUGGAUAAUCCAAACCUAUAUAAAACUAUAUUCAUUGACGACUCGUUUAGUUUGAACCAUUAACUAAGUAGGAAUAUAUAGAUUAACCUAAUUAUCACUUGCCCAAACUCACAUGAAUCAUCUAAUUUGAUAACUUGCCCAAAAUUUUAUCAAAAUUUUGCUAAAAUACCACCAAAAGCAAUCUUCUAAAUACACCUUUAUUAAUUUAAAAUUCAUACAUAAAUUUUUCUUUACGUGCACUUUUGGGUGUACAUGUGCUAAUUGAAAAGUCAUAUAGAUGCUUACAUGACAUUAAUAUUGAGUUCAUUAUAAGUGUCAAUGAAAUGCCAUAAUUGUUAUUUACAUGCUCCAAUUUAAUGUUAGAGCAUAAUUUCAACAUUCAAAUUUUAAAACUUUAAAAAAACAAACCUACUUAAUAAAAUCCAACAUAAAAAAUAUAAAAAACAAACAUAUAACAUAAAAAAUAAGAGUAAUCGAGUAUAUCAUUAGAAGAUUUUGACAAAUGAUUAUUGUGUCCAGAAGGAAAGUGAUAAAGAAAUAAUUGGGUAAAUAAGUAAAAAAAUAGGACUAAUCACAUUAUCUCAAGGAUUUGGCUAGAUAAAUUAAUCCUAUUUAAUGAAGGAAUAAAAGGGGCUAAAGCGAUAAAGAUAUAAUAGGGUGAAUAAUUUAAAAUGAGACUAAUCAAUUAUACCUGAAAUUUUUGACUUGACAAAUGAGUUUUAUUUAAUUAAGGAGUAAAAGGACUUAAAGUAUAAAUAACAAACUAUAAAUGGUUUAUGAAGGAGAUAGUAGGAAAGUUUUAAAUUUUAAAUGUGACUAGUGAUAGAAUUAGUUAUAACUCACUAUUUUAAAGUUUUUAAUUAGAUUUUAUAUAUUAAAAUAAAUACAAAAUUCUAGAAAAAAAGAAUGGAAAGUUUGGAAGCCAUUGAGAGGGUCUCUGCCAAAAACCCUCUCUGCAAUACAUAUAGAUAUAGAUAUUAAAUAUCAAUAUCAUAUCCUGUUUACUUCUUAUCUCGGAUAUGGGAUAUCACACAUAAUAUUAUAUAUACAUUAUUAGUGAAUAAAAUAUUUACUCUAUCAAUUAGUUAAAACUAAUUACUUAUAUGACCAGCAUAUUAGUUAUCUUCUAUUAUUCCCUCCAUCCCAUUGAAAGUGUCAUACUUUCCAUUUUAGAAUGUUUCAAAACCUUUACGUGUUGCAAAAAUCAAAGCACCGAUUAGUCAUUGUUUCCAAUAUAGCCAUUCUUUUUAAUCAUAUGCAUAUUACCAUUCAAAUUUAAAUUUUGAUUUUAUGGGGGUAAAAUUGAAAAAAAAAUACAAAUAUCACAAUCAAAUCACUAUUUUUAAAAAGUCGAAUUCCGAAACAUGAUUAAAUAAUUGGGACGGAGAGAGUAUAAAUUAUGGCUAGCAAUUUUUUUAUUUAUUUUUUAAAUUAGUUGUUGACACAUGACCGGAUUCUGGUAUUAAUUAAGAAAAAUCAGCCAGCCAUUAGGAUGAAAUAUAGUAAAUAAAAACUAAAAUAUUUGAAACUACAUUUGCUUUCAUCUAAGCUUUUGAAACUAAAAGCACUCAUACUCCAAAUGUUUAAAACUAAAAUUGCAAUUCUCUACACGAAUAAUUUCACUAAUGAACAACAAGAGUCGCGGCAAGACAUUAUACCGUUAGACAUUUUUGGUCAUACAAAUUUUCGCAACGAGGCCCAUUCAUCCGUCGCUAGGUUUUACAUGGCGACCAAUGCAGCAGCCAACUACAAGCCUAGCCCAGCAGAUAGUCUAAAGUUGGAAAAAUAUGGGGACCUACGCUUGCUUCUCUGAUGUUCAACGGACCCUGCCUGUUAGUAUUUUUUUUUCAAGCCGCUGCCUGUGGCAAUUUACAGGGACCACGGGCAGGCGAUUUUGUGCAUUUUACACACCGUUUAAUUUUAUUUGCACACGAUGUAAUUUUAUUUAUACAACGUGUACUUUUAGAAUAAAUUUUUGUGAAUUUAACACACAUCGUUAAAAACAAGAUACAAAAAGUAAUUUGAAUCAUAUAAUUUUUUUGGAUCAAAUCUUAACUGUGAAUAGCUCUGGUGCGAUCCUUCUGAUGAUCACUCCAGCCGCUCAUCCCAAUUUACAGAAACAAACAUGGCAUUCGGAAAUCAUGCAAAUUUUGCCCAGCCCCACCCCGCUGCACAUUUUGACUUUGCAAUAUGAAUCGUGGGGUUCCAUGCCCAACCCUUACACACCAACCAUUUUCCCUUCUUCCAAUUCUUCCGGUCUUCUUUAACUUCUGACUACUGACUAGUGGAAUAAAACUAGUACUAUUCUGCACAUCCAAACCACUUUACCAGAAUUCCAUAAUUGCAUUUAAAACAUAAAAAAGUCCCUAUUACAGUAACAUCUAUCUAAAUUAAUAAAUUCAAUUAAAUAAUAAUUUUUUAAUCUCAGUUUGGGCUAACGAGCUAAAUUAAUCAUUUCGAUAGAAUAAUAAGAUAAUAAUUUUAAAAAAAUGUUACAUAACUCUUUGAUCCCAUUCGUAUCAUAAAUUAAUAAUUCACUAAAAUUAUACAUUAUAUUUUCCCAAAUUAUAAGUAUAUUGUUGUCUGUUUUUCUUAAAAUUUAAAUUAGCUAAAUUUUAUCCCUAAUUUUCCUUUCUGCAUCUAAAAGUUCUAGUCUCAUGUUGCAAUAAACAAUAAGACAUUAUCCCUACAACUUUUUUAUUGCAUCUAGAAGUUCUGGUCUCAUAUUGCAUUAAAGAAAUUAGGAAGAAUUAUUGAUGCUUAGAAUGCUUCUUUUUGCAUAACAGGAUCUAAAAAUAUUAUAUCAUACUCAACUUCAUCACUAACCGAAUUUUAAAUGAUAUGCUAGUAACAAUUUCUUCUUGAAGACAUUAAUAGAAUUAAAUUAUACUUGCAAAUCAAGUAGAUAUACUUAAAGAAAUUAGUCUCCUUUUGUUAAUAGAAUAAUUCAUAUUUUUAUAAAAUAAAACAAAACUUCAAUUGAUUAAAUGAGUGUUUAUUUGAUAAAUCAAUAAUUUAUUAAUUUAUCAAUUAAUUAAUAAUACCUCUUUAAAAUAACAGAAUUUGUAUCAUUCCAAAGUUACUAAGGCCCUGUUUGGCACUUGAAUUUUUUGUCAAGUUUAUCUGCUACAAGUUUUUUAAAAAUUUUAGUUACAAUAACCUCAAAAAAAAUUUUAAAACUUUUAAACUAGACAUUUCAAAAUAUUCAAAAAUUUACACAUUUCAAAAAAUUUUAAAAAAACUUCUACAGUAAACUACAGUAAAAUUUUAAAUAAAUAUCUAAAAAACUCACUUACCAAACGGACCUUAUAGAGAGGUUUUAUUGUAUUAUUUUACUACCAAAUAGUGGAGCAUACACUUAAAAUUAGUCAUCAAAAUGGCCACCUUCCCCUUAAUUUCUUGGUCAACCGUCCGAAACACGAUAUGUCCUACACCGGACCAAUGCGGUCAUCUUCUUUGACUAAGCCCCAUCUAUAUUCUCGCCACCACCGCUUUAUAGUUUAUACUUUUAUCAUUGGGACCGAAAAAGCAAAAGCCACCAUAGACCAAAGAACAAUUGGCAUCCCAGAACAUUUGAACCAAAAAUAAAAGCAGUCUUUUUCUACAUAAACAAAUCAAAAGCAGACUGCAAAUUGCAGCUAUCUUCUUUGAAAUGCGCCAUACAUGUACCAAAUCCACCACCUGCCCUGCUUCUUUGCCAUUAACUCACCUUCAUUUGUCAAUUCGUUUAAUUCACGAUUGAUGACCCAAAAAGAAAAGAAGAGAGAGAAGAAGAAAAACAGAUAAAUGAUCAAGACUAAAAGUUGUUGUACAAGAAAUAAACUAAAGUCACUAAUAAUCAGUCUCUAAAAUCUCCUUCGAGACACAAACUGAUUAAUACCUAUUAGACUGCUAGAUAAUUACGCUAUUACACAAUUUUACAUUUGUUUCCCCUACAUUUUCCACCCUUUUUGGGCACCGAUUAAGUGUGUUGCGGUGGAACAAAUUAUAAUCCUGAUCAGGAAGACUCCAG
rnacentral:lncRNA from 1 species